rnacentral:lncRNA from 1 species
AAAAAAAAAAAAAUGAACUUUACACAAAAGUUGCAUUCUUUUGAUAUAAUUAGUCAAAAUGCAUCUUUGGAUAAAGAUAAUUAUUAUAAUGACUUCAUAAAAAUAUAUUUAUACAAACUAAUAAGUAGCCCACCAAAGUAGUCAAUUUGACUCAAUUAUGAUAUAUUAAUUUUCUAUUUUCCAAUAAGUUUCUUCAAUUUCCAUUCUUUUUUAUUUCUUUAAACAUUUUAUUUGUUCAUUUAGACAAACAAAUUUUGAAGGCUUGAAGCCAACAUUAUUAAUUACAACCAAGCAAUGUUUCAUGGAUGCUUAUAUUUUUUUUUUAAAUCAUAUCAUUUUUUAAAUAAAAAUGUUAACGUUAAAUUUUUUUUUAAUAAUAUUGGGGUUAUAAUUAUAUAACAGUCUACAUAUACUUCAUAUUGAUAUGAUAUUAUUUAUCUUAUUUUCCACAUUAACAAAUAAUUUAGAAUUUAUAAAUAUAUUCAAAAUUAAUAUAUAUAUAUAUAUAUAUAUGAAGUAUAUGUGAAUUACCAUAAGGAUUGCCAUGUUUAAAAAUUUAACAUUUUAGUUAACAUUUUCGUUAAAAAAUCAAUUACUUUUAAAAGAUUGAUAAUAAAAUUAAACUAUUUUUAAAAAGUUGAUGAUUAAAUUUAAAUAUUAAAAAAUUACAUAAAAUUGAGGCGAAAUUUAGCCUUUAUUUUGUUGAAUUAAUGUUACACAAAAGGGCCCUCAGCCAUAUAUAUAUAUAUAUAUAUAUAUAUCUUCCUAUUGUUGUUUUUCUUUUAACUCUUUAACAUGGAUUAUUAUGGUUAUAAUUUGGAAUUAUUAAAAGAUGAAAGACUAAGGCUCACCCCUGUCCCACUCUCCGGCCCCGGCACCGCCGUGAUUGCCUCUAACAACCACGUGUUAUCAUGUAAUUAGAUAUUGGCACGUGGGGUGAGGGCUUAGGAUAGCUAAUCAAAUAUUAUUACAACAAUGAGUAAUUCCUUUAUUACCAAUAUUUUUCAAAAUCAUAUGAUUAAAUUUAUUAAAUUUUAUAUAAAUCUGGAAUUCAGUUUGUGUAACAUUUUCUUUUCUUUUCUAGGAUUACUAGCUGUAAAAAAGGUGUUAACAUCAAAACUAGCUAUCAAUUUUAAUUUAACAUACAAUGUCAUGCUUUAAUUUGCAUAUAAUUUUUUUAAACUAUGUUAUUGAAAGAAGUAAAGUUAGAAAUUGUUUUGGGGGCCAAAAAUUAAAUAACAAAUUUUGAAAUUGUGGUUACUGUUGAAGCCAUCCUUUUUUUUCGAAAUUUUAAAUUUAAUAAAAAACGGGGAUCGACUUUUGAAAAACAAAUACAUAGAGUCGCCACCGAUCUUUUGUUUUGGUGUGAUCGGAUCACCUAAGAAUUUGGUUAUUGCAAUAAAACAUUUUGAUUUACUAAAACAACGAUCCUGGUCUACAAAAAUACGAGAAAACGGGCUCGGGAGUCGGUUACGUAUGAGGAAGGAUUAGCACCCUCACUACGCCCAAAAUUGGUACCAAAUCGAUUAGAUACUGUCCUUAUGUCUACAAUAAAAAAUGUUUUUGAAAUGUGUUGCUUUUUAAUAACAUUUGAAUAACCUUAGUUGGUUGCCAAAAAUCUUCUUGUUUCGACGUCCGAAAAUUUAUAAUUCGAAAAUCACAAAAGGGUGCUCAACUAUUUGGUCCAACAAAUAACCGUAACCCAGCACGGUAAGGCACGAUUUCUCGAAUUUCCAAACAUUGAACAUUGCCUCGCCUUAGAAAAUGCGAGUGAAAUUCCGAAGGGAUAUUAAAUUAUUUGGUGCAAACGGGAGAUUGCAACCCGGCACGAUAGGACACUACUCCCUGAAUUGCCAAACAUCGAGUAUUUCCUUUGUUUUAAAGAGUUUUUAGAAAACGUGAGUGAAAUUCCGAAGGAAUCUUCGAUUGUUUUGAACAAAAUGAAAAUGCGCAACCCAGCACGAUAGGGCACGAUUCUCAAAUCGCCAAACAUCAAAGAUCACUUUCGUUUUGAAAGGUUUUUAAUGAACAUGAAUGAAAACCGAAAGGAAUAUUCGAUUGUUUUAAACAAAUGAGAAACACAACCCAGCACGAUAGGGCAUGAUUCCCGAAUUAUCAAACACCGAGUAUUGCCUUCGUUUUAGAGGAUUUUUUGAAGACAUGAGUGAAAUUUUGGAGGGAUAUUUGAUUAUUUGAAGCAAUCGAGGAAUUGCAACCCAACACGUUAGGGCACGAUUCAGCGAAUUGCCAAAUAUCGCACAUCGCCUUCGUUUAAGGGAUUUUUUUUUAAAAGACAUGGGUGAAAUUCUAAAGGGACCUUCGAUUACUUUGAGCAAAAGAGGAAUUGCAACCCAACACGUUAGGGCACGAUUCCACGAAUUACCAAAUAUCGAAUAUCGCAUUUGUUUUAAAGAAUUCUUAAUAGUUGUGAAACUAGUUUAAAACGCAUUAAUUCGAUUUGAAAUAAGACGAAAUUAAUCAUAAAAUUUGAAUUUUAUAAAACCACAUUUUAAAAAUCGAGUGGAAAACGAUGAAUGGGGUAAUAUGUGUACGCAUAAAAAUACGACAAUGAAAAAUGAAGAUAAUACAGUUUAUUUAAUCAACUACAAGAACUUAAAUGACUAAGCAUAACUAGUUUGGAAGUAUAACUCAAUUUCAACCAUGCAUGGAGAAUAAUUAACAUGACAAUAUGAAACAAUGAAUAAAUAAUAUGCAACGAUAACAUAUAUGACAUAAUAAAAUGAUUACUAUUAGAUACACAAACAAAAUGCAAAUCGAAGAAAUAGCAUGGUAUAAAACUAUUUUAAAGUAAUGACGAAUAAAUGGGCACAUAAAAUGUGGGUUGACAAAUUUGUAUAUAUAAAAAACUAGGGCUAGAUAUUUAGUUUUUUGAAAUAGACAUUAUAGAAUGAAAGUUUGAAUCGAGUUGCAUGUGAAAUAUUUUAAACACAAGUACAUUCAAAAGUUGACAAACUACAUGAUGAUUUAUAAAACAUAUAUACAUGUGAAUCUAUCGAAAGACAUAAAAUUAAUAAUGAGAUAUAUAUAAAUUUUCAAAAUAAUCUAAAAAUUGUACACAUUCCUAUAUUAAAACAUUUAAAAUAAUAGACUAUAUAUACACAAAAGCAAUAUAAUAUGAAGAUAUACUCAAACAAUAAUAAUUUUAUAAUAAAAAACAAUGAAAUUUCCAAAAUUAUUUCAUAUAUGUUUAUAGAGAAAAUACUUGAUAAAUCACAAAGCAAAAAGCGUUUUAAAUAUAAAAAAAACUAUUAAAGUAAUAAGUGUAUUAAUAUAUAUAUACACAUAAUAAAUUUAAAAGUAAUUACAUGUAAAAUAACAUAGAAAUGAUAAUAUGCAUAGGGCUAAAUUAAUUUUAUUAUAAAUUGCACAAUAGAUUUAAAAAACAUGCUUAUAUAUAUAUAUAUAUAUAAAACUAUAUGUAUAAAAUACAUUGAUUUAAUAAUAUGUAAAUCAAGUUUGGGUAUCUAUAAAUAUGUAUGCUCGCAUAACGAUGAUUUAAAAGACAUAUUAUAAGAUUUAUAUAAUAUAAUAUAAAAAUGUGUUUAAAGGAUAUCAUAUAUACAUAAAAAUAUAAUUUUAAUAAUAUGCAUGAAAUAGAAAUAAAAAUAACUUUGUUAUAAAAUACAUGGGUUUAGGGAAGUGUAUGAAUCAAACAUCCGUCUCAAUAUAUCUAUGCAUGUACAAAAAGAAUUUUGAAAUGAAUGAUGUAUAAAAUAAUUUCAUGAAACCAAUUGCUUUAGGUUAAUGACACAUAUUGGCAAUGCACACAUAAAUAUGAUGAUAUAUGAGAGAGUAUAAAACAAAUAAAUUGUAAGUAGAAUGGAUUAAGAUAUAUACAUAUACACAUACGAUUUGAACUAUGUAAGGCUAAUAAAAUAGUCCAUGAUAGUAUAUUGCAAGGUGAAUGACAAGUAAAUUUGAAAAUAUUGCAAAGAAUGAAAAUAUGAGCUGAAAUAGCAAAAGUGUACUUAAUCGAAGUGAAAAUAAAACUGGAAGGAUAAUUCACGAAUAGAAGAAAAGCCAAAAGACGAAUUUAAGGAUAAAAGCUUGAUAUACACAAAUGUUCAAGGACUAAACCGAAAAUUGUCCCCGAAUUUUAAAAUGCAACAUUUAAUCGUUGAUUAAAUUGGGACUAUGUACAAAUCUUAGGAAUAAAUUAAAAAACGAAAGGGAAUAAAAGGGGUUUCAACUGAAUUAUGGCACGAGCAGAAGGGGCUUAGUACGCCAUUGUCCCUUCCAGACCUAACACGCGGGUCAUCGGGUGAAGGCCACCAUUCGACGUAGUAUUUGGACCACCAAAAAUUGGUCAAAACGGCGUCGUUCUUUCGCUCUCUUAUAAAGCUAACAUUACCUUCCUUCAGCCGAACCCUAACCAUGCCCUAGCCUCCCCCUUUUCAACAGCCGCACUUUUCAUUUUCCCUCAAAAACACCAGCACUCUGCAAGGUAUGGUGACCGGCGCUCCAAGCUUCAAAGUACGGCCCGUUUUAGCCACAGACCCCCCCUUCUAACUCCGAUUACGACAAAGUGAAAGGGGACCGACGGCCUAGCAGUGAGGUAAGUCCUUCGUUUUAUUUUGUUAUGCUAAGAAAAAAGACAAAAUAAAAAAAGGAAUGGAACUGAUAAAAAAAGAAACAAGGCGCUUCAAAUCACCUUUUCGAUUGCUCUUUUUCUUUGUAUUUGAUAUGCCAAAUGUGUGUCUGUAUUGCUUUCUAAUGCGAUUGCGCGUAAAUAUUACAAUGAACAAAAGCUUUGGCUUUAUAGCCGAAACAGAAAUAAGAAAGAUCCAAAAUAAAAUAAUAAUAAUAAAUCAAUACGAAUUCUCCUUUUCGUAUUUGCUGUUGUGGUUUUGUAUUUACUCGCAGGUACGGAGUCUGCUGGCAUGUGUACGGAGGUACGGGCAUGGCGUACAAGGGCUGUGGCGUGGCUGCUGAAACGUUGGGGCAUAUGGAGGCAUGGAGGCUGGGGCUUGGUGGACCUGCUAGGGUUUCUGUCUUGGUUUCAGUACUUGGGCCGUUUGGGCUUGUAACAAGUUUGGGCUAGGGCAUUGGUUAUUGGGCCAUGUAAUUGGACUUGUUAUUAGAUUUAAGUUUUGGUCUUGUAUUAAUUUUGGGUUUUGGACUGUAAAAAAGGAUAUUUAAUGGACUGUGGUUAUUUAUUUAUUUAUUUAUUUUAUAUUUAUAUAUAUGUUUGGGGUUUUUUAGCGGGCCCGGGCCAAAAUUGGUCACUACAGCUACUAUUUCAACUAUGAAAGUAAAAGUGCGUAAAAUAUAAAAAUGAUCAUCAAAAUUAUGCAGGUCUUUAUCCAUAACAAUGAUUCACUAUCUUCCUCACAGUGCAACUAAUUUUUUACAUCCUAGUAUUGGUCUAACACUCAUCAAUUUAGAAAUCUCAUUGUUGUACAAAGACUAAAUCACUCCCCCACUAAGUUUUUCUCUCGAAAGUUUAGUUUUGCAAUCUAGAGACUCUCUUGAUUGCUUACAGAAGCAAUGCACACAUAAAAUAUUCCUCACUAAAACAAAUUUGUGCUCUCUUAAUCUCUCAAUUACUUUCGGUUACCUUUAACCUAGACAAAACUUAAGUUUAUGUAGUACUUAAGUUUUGUUUACAUAAGAGUCCUAUUCUAAUCAUUUGUCUAUAAAGUAAAGCUAAAAAAUAAGCAUAGGAUAAUAAUUCCAUAAGAGUCUUGGUGUAAUCCAAAGUCUUCAACUUAAUUUGUUCUGCAAAAAACCAGUCUUCAAGUCUUCAACAUUAACUCAAUUGGUUUUUUUCAUAUUCCGGGCUUUAACUUGUCCAAAUAUUUUCAAAAUAAAUAGUCUAAUAUUUUCUUUUUGUAAAAUUUGUUAACUCUGUAAAUAGACAAAUAUGACAAUAAAAUAAUGCAUCAAAUUGUGGGCACUGUUUCAGCCACAAAAAAAUUGUCACAAAAUUCACCUUACCUUCAAACCUAUCAACAUGUUAUUGUUAUACAAUUUUACGGUAAAUUACACCUUUGAUUCAUAACAAUUUUGACACUAUUCUUUCUUGCUAUUCGUAUAUUGCGAUUAGUUACUUUAUAUUAAUCAAUAAGUUAAUUAUAAUUUGAAACGUUGCAAGGUAAAAUCAAAACAAAGCAAUUAAGAUACAAUACAAAAUAAAAGAGUAAUAAAGAUUUUAGGGUUUGGUUGGUAGAGUGGAAAAACAAUUGAAAGGAUGAAAAAUUGAAGGGUUAGAAAACUAGAAGGAUGAAAACCAAAUUUUUUUUUCAUAAGUAUGCUUAGUAGGAGAGAGAGAAAAAUAAAAAGAAAGUAAAACAUUUGAAAAUGCAUUCUUUUGAAUUAACUUGCACAUCUCUCUCAUCAUUCCAAUUUGAAAUGAUUAAUUUUUAUGCAUUAUGAUAAAAAAUGAUCAUCUCUCCUAUUUUUUUCCUCACUUUUUUUCAACCAAGCACAUUCAAAAUUUAUUUUUAUUAUUCUAUUUUUUUUCACUCCCUCCUUUCAUCUCCAUUUUUCCUCCCAAUUAAACACAUCCAUAUAAAUGGUGAUGGAAAAAAUUUAGAAUGUAAAAAUUGUUAUAUGUAUCUCCUUUGUUUAUGUGUGAAAUAUAUAUAUAUUAAGAAAUAUAGUAAUUAAGUAUAAAAGAUUUUUGUACCGAAACAUGUGACUUAUAAUAUAAACUUUGUUUUUUUUUUUUUUGGUUAAAGAUUGAAUUGACUACCAAUUAAUUUGGGAUUCAAUGACCAAAAGGAUGAAAUGUAUGUGAGAUUUAAUUACAAUAAGUUUAGGGUAAUUUACUAAAGUAAAUGAUCUGAGCUGAUUUCAAGAAUCUAUGAUUUCCUGUAUCUAAUAAUAGUAAUUUUAUUGAAUCUAAUUUUUUAAAUUAUUGUAUUAAUGGUUAUAAAGGAAUAAUAAUUGGCGAAUCGGCUUUCUUUGCCAUAUUUACAUAAAUUAAAAUUAUAUUUCGAGUGAACCCCAUGUCAUAGUUUGAUGGUUAAGGGUGUUCAUCGUUAUAAAUGUGGUCUAGAUUCGAGUUGUGCUAGUCGCAUUAAUUAUUCAGGUCUUACUCUAUUAUUGUAAUCCCAUGCACAACCCAUGAUAUAUGUUCAUAUUAGUAAAGUUAAUUUUUGAUAAUUUUUCUAUCUAUUUUGAGGUGGUUUGAUAAAUAAAAAAGAAUAAUAAUUAAAAAAGACGAAAAAAUUAAAUAAAGUGCUAAAAUAAUUUUUUUUAAAGUUGGAAGAAAAAAAUCAUGUUACUUUUUCUUAAUUAGUUGUCUCCAAAUUAAAACAUCUCAAUCCUAACAUCAUAAUUUUUAUGGCUUGAAGGACAAGCUUUAAUUAAGGGGAAUGAUGGUACAAAUUUAUAAAUUUAUAGAUGAGUAGUUUUGGGUGUAACAUAUCAGUUAAACUGAUAAGAUGGACUAAAUAAACUAAAAUAAUUUGGUUUAUUUAAUUAUUUCGCCACUUAUUUUAUUAAUUAAAUAAAUUGAUUAAACAUUAAACUCAAUCCAAUAUUUAAAUACACCCACUUACUUUUAUAUAAAUCAACUCAAAUAUUAAAUAAUUCAACCCAAUUAAUUACUCAAUUAGAAAAUAGCUCAAUUAAUUAAAUAUAAAUAACCUAAUUAAUCAAUUUGAAUAAAUAAUCCAAUUCAAUUAAUUACUCAAAUAUAAAAUUAAACACUCAAACAUAAAAUAGCUCAGCCCAAGCUAAUUCAACUAAUUAAUUAAUUCUACAAAUACAUCUUAAAAACCUUAAAAAAAAAAUAACUCAACCAAACUAAAUUUUUUUUUUCAAUUAAUUUGCUUUUGGAUCUAAAUUCGGGAGUGCAAUUUUCGGCUUUAAUUAAAAACUAACUCGGGUCAGGUAGGUUGAUCGGUUUUGACCUAAGUUUAAUCGUUUGAUUAUCAAUUUUUGAAUUGCGAAACCAAACAGACAAAAGAAUUUAAUUUAAUUUAUAUUAUUUUUAAAUUAGUUAUAAUAUAUUUAUAUUUAUAAUAUAUAAUAAAUAUAUAAUCAUAUAAACCAAAUUCAAUAAUCCAAGAUCAAUUAACUGAAGAACCAACUAAACUGGUCGAAUCAAAGUUAAUUCGUUUGAUCGGUUUUCUCAACUGAAGUUAAUUGGAUCGGUUUUCUCAUAUUAAAAUUGAUUAAAUCAAUUAAAAAAAUGACUAAACCGAUGAAUUAAAUCCAUAAAUUUAAUUUAGUUGUUUAGGUGAUUUAAUUGAUUUAUUAAAAAAAAUUAUAAGUAAAAACCAAAUGGAUGAAACCAAUGAAAUAUAGUGUAGCAAAAGAUAAAAGAAAAGAACCCCACCUAAUAAUUAAAGUGUUUACUGUCUUAAGUGUGGUUUGGGUUCGAAUUGUAUUAAUCAUAUUGUUGUUUAGAGCAUUAUCCUCCACUUGUAAUUAAAUAUUAAAAAUAUAUAUAUAGAAGAGGAGAAUUUAAUUAGUUAGGUGCGGCUUAGUUAAGGAAUUUGCUCAAAGGUUUCAAAUCAGUCAUUUACACUAAUUUGGUGAAGUUGUUGCUGAUUUGAUUGAGCUAAUAAUUUAGGCAAGUGAGGGAUCAACAAGUCAACCCAUUCGCUUGAUGUCCAUUCAAUAAUCAACCUACGUUUUCUCAAAUCUCAAUAACCAAUUUUCUAUAUUAUUAGGAAAUGUUUAAAUUUAGUAUCACUUCUUAUUAAAUUCUAAUUACAUCAUUACACUAUCGUAUUAUAUCAAUUAAGUUCUUUUAUUAUUAAAAUUAUUAGUUCAACUGUUAAAUAAUAUAUCAACUAAUAAAAAAAUUUAUAUUUGAAUUAAAAUUUUUCCUAACUAAGAAAAAAGAAAAAACACCUUUCCCUCCGCAUUAUUACUUAAAUAAGUUCAGAUGUAUCAUUUAAAAGUUAAAUUAAUAAUUUUAGUAAUAUAAUAAUCUAAUUAAUAUAACUAAUGUAAUAUAAUUAACUCAAUAAAAAUAAACAUAUAAUUUACUAUGUUAAAAAAAACCCCCACCGACUAAAUAUUUCAUUUUUUCCUUCCCCCCCCCCCCCCAACAACAAGCUGUUGGUGGUGCAGCAUUAGUUAUCGAUAAUCAAGGAAAUCAAAUCACUCUAUGCAGGGUACAACCACACUAACGUACAUUCUCCUUAGGAGUCGUUUUCUUCUCCUUAGGCAGAUUCUCUCCUAAAGUUUUAACAUAUAGAGUAGCAAGUGCUCAUCUCAUAAUUAUUCUCUACUCACAUAAAUCAAACAUAUUUUCUGGUCAAUUAUAAUUAACCAUUGCUAUUGAUAGUAGGGGUGUAAAUAAGGAGUGGUCUUGUCCUCCCCACUAAAAAGAAUAGUAAAAAUGUAUUUUAAUUUUUUUGAAGUUUACAAAAUUAUAAGUUAGUAUAACGAUAAAAUUAUACUUUAAUCUCUCAAAAAUUUAUAAUUCAUCUUUGGCCUUCCCUAAAACAAUUUUUUUGACUUUAUCCAUGAUAGAUGACAGAUAUCAUAGUUUCGAUCCGAAAAAAAAAAAUUUCAAAUAUUCUCUUAAAAUUUAACUUUGUUAAUUUCUUUUAUAUAAAUUAUUGAAUCGUUAAUUUUUUGUAAAUUCUUGUAAAAUAAUAUUAAAUGUAGACAAAUUAUAAUAUUUUAUUUUUUUAAAAUUUCUCAAUUAACAUCUGGUCAUACAAAGCAUGCCGGUGGCCGAUAAAUUAAAGGUACCGGAGAUGGAUGGAAAGUGUAAUUUGUGAGAGAUGGAUGGGAUGAGAGAAAGAUAGAAAGUGCUCAUUUGUAGAUUAACUACAGAUCAAAUCAACAUAAUCCAACUGAACUUUAUAUUGUUCUUCAUUAACUAAACAUUUAUUAAUUCUUUCAUUUUCUUGAAAAUAAGAUGAAGGAGCUGUUCCUCCACUUACAGUCAUACAAGAUGGAAACUGAUGAAAAAUCAACUGACGAGGAAAUUCUAGGGUUUUUGAAAGAAACUAAAAGAAAAGCAUAAAGGAUCAAAUUGAGAAGAGAGUAAUGAUUUUGUCCUUGAACGAAAAUUUGGCCAAAUUGCGCAUAACAUGGAUGUGGGAUCCUUGCCUUAAAAACCCACGUGACAAACAAAACAAAAAAGGAAAUUUUAUGAAAAAAAACAAAAAACAAAUGAGAUAGAUAAUUUGAAAGAGAAGAAUGAUAACAAAAUUAAAUAAAUAUAAAAGAGACAGAUUUGUUCUAUGAAACACCUAAUUAAUUUAUGGACUUUGGAUGAUUAUGAAACAUUUAACCGAAGGAUUCACCCGUCAACAACACAAGAAUCAUUAACUGCCAAAUAAACUUGUUUUAUGUAAAUCAACAAGGUUUUUGGGCAUAAUGGAAGUUUAAUUUUUUUUUAAACAAAGUCUUGUGAUACUUAUAACAAUAAACUCUUAAUCGAAAUCAUAUAUGUGCUUUUUAUGAGAUAGUCUAAGUCAAUUUUGACUUUCAACCGAAUGAUAUUUUCUAUUAUUUUCGAACUUAAAUUACUUUGAGUGUGAGUUUAAACAAAUCAAACCAAGAACACAAAAUGAAAACUUUUCUUAACUUUCAAUGGGAAAGCUAAUUCUUUCUAUAACCGAAAAUUAUGCAUUUUUUUUUUCAGAAAAUAGAAUUCUAGGCCAAAUUCACAAAAUUUGGUACCAAAUUUAUUAAAUAUCUUGAACAUUAGAACAUUCUUCUUGAAGUAUCAACUUUAUUAAAUACCUCUUUAAGGAGUUGAUAUGAUAAAAUUAAAAUAGCACGUGCUUGAAAUUAUUGUCGAAGCUUCUUGGUAGCUACAUCCAAUGUGAAUUCUAUCUUUUCCAAUCCAAUGUAAUUGAGCUCAUCAUUCUCUACAACCCUAUUCACAUAGUAGACCACAAUCUGGCAACCUUCAUCUUCCUUGAUUACAGUUGCUAUUGUCUCCUCUAAUGUGACCUAAUAAACUUUUAAUUAGUCUCCUAGUAGUGGUGAUGCUAGUAAUGAAGAAAACUUAGGUACGCAUUCAAUUGUUUCAAAUGCUUUUUGACAAUCAUCAUUCAAUUAAUAACAAGGAUCAUAAAACUUUGAAAAAUGGCAAGCACUUGUAUGUUGGUUCUGACACAAAUCUAUCAAUGCUACAACAUUUCUAGUUAAGUGAUGCAUUUCCUUGGUAUUCUUAUGAGAAUUCAUAUUUAAUAUUGCGUGAAUUUUUUCUAGGUUCACCUUAAUAACCCUGUAGAAAUCAUAAAAACAAGGAACUUUCCUACUUCCAUAAAAAAUGUAGACUUAGAUGAUGCAGAACCCAUGAUUCGAGAAAACCUCAAAUCUCCAAGUUUAGCAAAUUGGAAAAAAAUAUGUUUGUGUUAAAACAACAAGAUAAUUUAGUGUAUACCACCUCUUAUUAACUUGUUACUAGAAACAAUGAUAUUCGGAUAGUCUAUCUUACAAUACCAUCUCUAAUAAAGUUGUAACUAGAAACAACGAUAAUCGAGCAACACCCUAUACCACCCUUAAAUAACAUGUACCUAAAAACAAAGAUAACAAAAAAAAAAUUAACAAGGUAAAUCAUUCAGCCUCGAAAAGAAAGAAUAAAGGCCAAAUUUUAUUAAGCUCAAAUAUCCCUAUUUACAGUGGUCGGCCAAUCCAAGUAUUUAUAUGCCUUUCAAUAUGCCAAAGUUCAAAAAAAAAAUAUAAAUUCCUAAAGACCAAUUGAAAAUUCAAUUUUACAAGUCUUAUAUAAUUAAAUCUCUAAAUAUCAUAAAACUCCAAUUAAACUAUCCUAACCAACCAUAAUUAAGGAGUUUUAUUUACAGUAUAUCUCUCUAAUUAAAUAUAAAAACUCUUUGAAAUAAUAAAAGUUCCAAACUGACUAGACACCUAGAGUUUUUAAAAAAUUUCCUCAAAUAUUGUCUACUAUCUUAUUGCAACUUUCAACUCUUAUGUUGUCUUUGUUGAUGCUCGUCCAAUUUUCAUAGAUGCAAAUUUGCAAACUUAAAAUGUACUAAAAACAAUGAGAUGUUUUUUUUUAUAUAUAUUUUUCUUUUUAUUCACAACUACUAAAUAAAACAAUAAAAAGAUAAUUUAAACACUUAAACUAAAACUAUGAUACUAAUGAUGUGAAACCCAAGAUCUAAGAAAACCCCAAAUCUCUAAAUUUGGCAAAUUGGUAAAAGAAAAAACAUGCCAGUGUAUAAAAAGAAGAAGAUAAUUUAUCUUGCACUAUACCUGUAGUGAACUUGUAAUUAGCAACAAUGAUAACUAGAUAAGUAAGCUUGUGGUCGUGCAUGUGUUUCCUUUUGAUAUGUAAGAUAUUGAAGGUGCCAAUAAUAAGGAUUAAUGAACUAGAAUAAAAUUCGUAAUUAAUGACCACAAAAAGGUCAAGCUUGAUAUUCAUGUUCAGUUGCUUCAUAUUGAUUACAUGCAUUGAAUGACAUUUCAGCAUUUGGAUCAUGUUGUUAUUGGAAACUGUGAAGAAACCUUUUUUUUUUGAGACAUGACUCAUACAAUGCCAAAUUGUUGAUACAAACUAGGGAGAUGGUGGUUAGUGGUGGUUCACACGAAGGUGUUGAGAGUAGAGAAGAUUAAUUUUGGGGACCAAGGAUGAGGGUCAAAGGUUCUCUAAACCAUUUGUCAAAGAUUAGGUUUGAAAUGUGUGUCUUGAGAGAAUACGGUUAAAGAGAGAGGCUAGCGUAAGGUUUAAUUUGUUCUAGGGGCCAAUGGAUAGGUGUCUUGCUAGGAAAAGUGGUAAGUUAAGUCAUGGUCGCCCUCCAACACUUGCAUUUGUAUAUGAUUGGAUGGUUUAUUGUCUUGCUGAGGGGGCUUCUAGUGGAAUUGAUGUAAUUAGCAUUUGUCCACAUGUUAUACAUGUAAGAGAUUGAUACGGUGAUUGUAUGUCAAUUUUUUGAAGUAGUCCCAUUUAAGCAUGGUGAUCCUUUAGUUAUGAGUUGGACAAACUCCUUUUUAUUUUCCUUUUUAGUUCGGGCAACUGAUUUGAGCGAAAUAAUUUUAUAUAACAUCUACAUAUAUUUAUAUACAUAUAUAGUAUACGAAAAUAUAAACCUUUUUCAUUCUCUAUAAUUAUAUUUUUUUUAGUGAUGAAAUAUUUCAUCACAUUUUAUGAUUUUUAUUUAUAAAAGUAAAAUAGGAAAAUACACAAGUUUUAAAUUAAAUCUAUUAGAAGAUACCUUCGGUUCGCUUUAGAAAAAUAAUUUUGGAUGUAAUAUAUAUAUAUUUCAAUAAAGAGGAUUACUAUGUGAAAUUAUGAAAAAUAUUAAAUUAAUUGAGACACAACAUUAACAUAAAAAAAGUAUUAUUUUAAAUAAAGUAUAUAAAAAUAAUAUGAAUAUGACACAUAUGUGAACAUGUCAAAAUAUAUGUAAAAGAAAUUAUUAAUGUGUUAUAAAUUUAUAUAACACUCCAAACAUAUGCAAAAUAACACAAGCACGAAAAUGAUAUGGAAAAUAAAAUGAACAUUCCAUGAAUGCAUGACACAAAAAUAUAUGCAAACACACCAAAGCAUACUAAUGUAAUGAAUUGAGACAUGAAAUAAUAUUAACAUAAAAAAACAAAAUAAAUGUGAUACCAAUUACGGAAUAUGUUAAAAAGAUUUAAUUAAUUCUCACACAUUUAUUAUUAUUUUGAGUAAAAGUAUUAUGGAGGUCUUUAUAUUAAGAGUUAGAUUAUAUUUUUAUUUUUUUUAUCCAAAAAAUGACAAUUUAGUCAUUGUACAUUACAUUAAAGAGCAAAUGGGUCCUUUUUAUUAAAAUUUCAUCUAUUUCUAUUGUUAAAACUAGUCUUUGUACAUCAAUAAAAGGUAUACAUAUGUAACUGUUUGAUUAUUCCUCGACUACACCAAAUUUUAACAAUAGAAAUAGAUGAAAAUUUUAACAUAAAUAAUUAAUUUACUCUUUAAUUUAAUGUACAAAAAUUAAUUUACUCCGUUUCUUAAGCAAAGAGACAAAAUAUAACCUAAUGAUCUCCCUUAGGCAUUUAUCAAUUUCUUUUCUUAAUUGUCUCACGACAAAAUUAACCAAAAUUUAUAAUUCAAGCCUUACGUAUAUUUGGGGUCAGCUUUUACAAUUGGUAUUACGAUCCCUGUAAAAUUAUGUGGAUAAGAAAAAGAAAUAAUCAUUUAAAAAAAUAAAAAAGGAAAAAGGAAAAGAAAACAUUACUUGCUACACAUCUAAUGUUCGAAUCAUGGCAAGAUUGCCUAUAAAAUUGUUGCAUCAAGCGGGUAAAAUAGGCAGAGAGGAGCAGUACAAAAAUAGCAUAGCCCCCAAUCAAACUUUAAUUUUGUCUGCGUGCUACAGCGAUCCAUUGACCCCCUUUAAAGCUGAUGGCUUUGGGCAUAACAUGUGUGGAAGAAUGAUGGGAAAGAAGGGCAUGUGAAGCUACAAAGAUAAGUGCUUCUCAAACGAGUGGCAAUGUGAUGAGAGAUGUAGUCAUGUUGGGAAACCAUUGGGACCCUUUUGGUUUGCCAUUUCACAACCACCAUCGUUGAGGAGUCAACUUCAUUGCUCUCUUUUACUCCAUCAACUCCCCAGCAUUGCCCAUCAUUUCUUAAAGUGAAGGAUAGAAAAUUUUUGCCCAUUGUCCUCCAAAAGAAGACGUGAUUGCCACGGUUUCAAACUAAAGAAGAAGAAAAACAAAAAUUCUUUUCACGUUAAAAAUAUUAUAUAUCAAAUAAAUAUUUAAAUGUCUAUUGUGAUGCUGUUUCAACAGAAGAGGGAGAUGGAUGGAGAUGUGUUGUCGGUUCACCCAAGUAGACGGAAAGCCGUAAUAGAGAAAGAGGGGGGUAUAUGGAGGAUUGAAAUACCUUGUGGAAGCAUUGUAUUGGUAAACAAGUCAUCUCAUUGUCUCUUAGUGAAGGCAAUGACGUAACCACGUAGGACUGUAAUGGGUAAAAAUAACAUGAAAACAUAUAUUAAGAGUCAGAUUACAUUUUGCCCAUUUUAUUAAAAAAAUAGAUAAAUUAGUAAUUACAUAUUAAAUCAAAAAACAAACUGGUCAUUUCUGUUAAAAAUUACAUCCAUAACUAACUGUGGCUAACAAAAUAAUCAAACAAUUACAUGUAGUGUGCAAUAUGUACCUUAUUCUUUAUACAUAGAUCAGUUUUUAACAAUAAAAAAUGGAUGAAAUUUUCAACAGAAUGAUUAGUUUACUUUUUGAUCUAACGUAUAGGGACUAGUUUACCCAUUUUUAAGUAGAGGGGCAAAAUGAAAUUCGACUCUUAGUAUUAAGCCAUCCAUGAUAUUUUUACCGAUUGUAAUGCUAUGUUAAAAGUUAAGGGAUGAUAGAUAUCUUGUCAAUAUAGUGUCUUCGACAGUGAAAAUAGGUAAACAAUAUAUAAGAAAAAGGUACGAAAAUGCUUGUCGAAGAUGGUAUAACAAAAUAUGCUAAUUGUGUUGGUGUAUAUGGGAUUUGAAUUGAUAUUUGAUGCCGUAUGAUCAUGUCGCCUGAUAUUGCAAAAAAGAAGAAAAGCAAUGGAUUUGGUCUGAAAUUGCAAAUGGGUCAAGAUUAUUGCUACUUAUUAUGAAAGAGGUGUGCACGUGUGAAUAAGAUGCAAACCAAUCGUGCUGCAUCUGUGUUCAGCUAAAAAUUGAAGGCAAAAACUUUUAACCAAUCCAAUCAACACCAGACUAACUUUUGGCCAUGCCAAUCGAAAACACCGUUUUAACUUUUAAUCUUUCAACCUUGAAAUCAUAGAUAUACCAACUUCUUCCCCUUAGUGGAAAACAUGCUACAUUAUUCCCCUUUUCUAUUUCUUUGGACCAAAGUAAACUAAUUCCUACUUUUUUUAUUGAAUUAAUUCUACGUGGACUAUUAUGAAUAUUAUUAAAAUUAAUUAAUUAAAUCAGUACUGUCGAUUGAGGCUUAACUCGAUUAGUAUGGAUAUUGUUAUCAAUGUAGGAGAAUAUGGGUUUGAGUGCGCUGGAAUGCAUUAUCCUCUUAUUUAAGAAUUGAAGAAAGACUAUAAGUAGUUUUAGGUAUUGUGAAAAAAAAGAAGAAGAUAUGAUCAGUUUUAGGUAUUGUGAAAAAAAAAAGAUAUGAUCAGAACUUAUGAAAAUUGAUUAGAAGGAAAAGUAGCAUUUACAAAACUGAGCAUUGUUAUUUGUUUUUCUGUAAGAGAAAAAUCAAAACCACUCAAGUUUUUCUUCAUACUGAUUACUAGUUACAACUUCUUCAAUAAUAUACUCUUCUUUUUUUUUAUUCUUUCAAAUUUCAAUUUACUCUAUUGUUGUUGUUGUUGUUGUUGUUUUUUUCACUUUGUUUUCUCUUAAAGUAGUGAUAAUUUUAGUUUUUAAACAUUUUUUAUUCAUGCUUUAGCGUAUAUAUAAGAACUUCCAAAUAAAGGUGCCAUGAGAGUACAUUAGAACUGUUCUCGAAAGGUCUUAUCAUGAUAAAACAUAAUAAUGGUGUCCAUAAAAUUAAAAUCUGAGAUGAUGAGAAGGAUAGACCAUCUAAGACAGAACCCUUUGUGCAUCACUAAUAUGGCAGGUUUCUUAGAGCUCUGAUAGUGGUUUCUUGAUUGACCAGACUUCAUCGUUAGGUUGGUCGGAUGAAAACAAGGCUAGAAUGUAAUUUUCAGCCAUUUGAUAUCUCUUAUUUAUUUCUAAAUUUUUCCAGUAUUGCAAUCGCUGUCAAUUUAUUUUUCUCCUAUUUUAGAAUUAUUCUAUAGAUACAAUAUCUGUGCAUUAAUUUGUAAUAUCUUAUUUAUAUAUAGUUUGUACUAUAUAUUGUGUCUUUAUAUUCUUAUUGUUGAUGAUUUUUAUUUAUAAUGAUAAUAUUUUAUUAAAAAAAAAAAGUGGCGAGGGGAUUUUUCUUCAAUGGAAGUUCUAUAGAUGGUUUAAUUGGUUUUCCACUCAUCCCUUUUUGUUUUGUUUUGUUUUCCAUAACUUUUUCUAUGUCUCACUAAUUACAUGCACUAUUAUAAUAAUCUCAAGAUUUUCAAUUAUUUAAUCGUAUUCGAAGACAAAAAUAUAUUCCUUUAUCACAAAAUCCAUGAUAUGCUAACUUAAUAGGCAAAUUGCAAAUCUUGUCAGAUAUCCAACAAUUCAAAUCCAAAGUCAAAUUUUGCUACUUUCACUAUAUUGUUACACCUCUACAAAGCAAAGUUUACUUAAAAAUGUCACUUGCUUUUGUAAUCAGCAAAAUCCAUGAAGGACGGAGUGACAAUUAAUUAUGUAUACUAAAAAUAGUAAAAGCAUUAUAGAGGUUUAUGUACUAAAAGUUAGAUUAUAAUUUAUCUCUUUUAUUUAAAAAAUAGAUAAAUUAAUCCAUAUACAUAAGUUAAAUUAUAAUUUGUCUCUUUCAUUAAAAAAAAUAGAUAAUUAAUCUAUAUACAUUAGAUCAAAAAGUAAAUUAGUCUUUUUUGUUAAAAAUUUCAUUAACUACAUCAACAAGAAGUACAUGUGACAUAACUAUCUACGUCAGUUUUUAAUAGUAGAAAUAGAUAAAAUUUUAAUAGAAAAGACUAGUUUUCUCUUUAAUAGAGUUAAUUUGCUCAUUUUUUAUUGGGACAAAAAUGCAAUAUAACUUCUAAUAAAGGGAUAUACAUGGUAAUUUACCCAGAAAAUAGUGGGCUUUUUCUUUCCCAAUUACGGUACCCGUUUCUAAAAAGAUCAGCUACUGAAUGGACCACCCAAUCCUAGGUGCUCUCUACCCUCAAACUUGAACAAAAACCAAUCAUUCCAAUGAUAAUAUCAGCAAAAUUCAGCAUAGUUUAAUUGGACUUUAGGCCACACUAGUAUAAAGGGUUUCUUUUUUAUAUGGUACUCUUACAAUGUGUAGUAUAUAUUUCUUGCUUCUAGCCAUACUACUCCCUUGUUGCUUUGAGAUUCUAAGCUUAAGCUGCUCCACCGUCAUGAAAGAUACACUUAGGUACUUAGCAGGCAUUGCAGGCCCUAGUGGUUAUGGUUCAAAAACUACUGCUCAACAAGUUGCAGACAAUUCUUCUUCCCCUCUUCACCGUCUAACUGCCAUUAUCACCGGUAAGUCUCCGUUACCAACUUUUUCUUUUUUUCCCCCGGAUUCCGAGAGAAUAUUUAAGAUUUCUACAGGAUAAACCUGAAGCCCAUUUGUGUAUAUAUAUAUAUAUAUAUCUUAAACAAGUAGUUGUUUUUGUUUGUACAAGGAUAUGGUUUUGUCUCAUCUACAGAUAAUAUAUUGGUACUAGCUUAAUAGGGAUUCCUUUUUUUUUUUAAUAUUAAUUUUUUAAAAAAUCCAUUGUACCAAUUUUUGAAGGAGCGACGUCUGGUAUUGGAGCUGAGACGGCAAGGGUAUUGGCUAAGAGAGGAGUGAGAGUGGUGAUACCAGCGAGAGAUAUAAAGAAGGCAGCUGAAUUGAAGGAAGGGAUUGAAAAUGAGAAUCCAAAUGUUGAAAUUAUGUUGUUUGAGAUUGAUCUUAGUUCAUUGGCUUCUGUCAAGAGAUUUUGUACUCAGUUCUUGGCUCUUGGAUUACCCCUUAACAUCCUCAUGUAGGUUCUCAUACAAUAAAUCCACCAUUUACAUCUUCUUUUUUCUUCUUUUCUCAAAACAAAAUAUACAUAUAUAGAAUGCUGAAAAAUAAUAACACCAAAUUUUGCAGAAAUAAUGCUGGGAUAUUCUCUCAGAAUUUGGAGUUCUCUGAGGACAAAAUUGAGAUGACAUUUGCAACAAAUUACUUGGGUACAUGCACACUCCCUUUUUUUCAUUACUAUAAUUUGGAGUAAAAGAUGUUAUCUCCACAUAAAAAAAUAUCAAAUUAGUCCCUAUACAUUAGAUUAAAGAGUAAAUCAGUCUUUCUGUUAAAAAUUAACAUGGCACACCAUGUGCCACUAUCUGAUUAUUCUAUCUUAUACGUCAAUUUUUAACUACACAAAUAGAUAAAAUUUUAAACAAAAAAAAUCAAUUUACUCCUUGAUCUAAUGUACAAUGACUAAUUUGUUCAUUUCUUGAAUUGAAGAAAAAAAUAUAAUUUAACUCCUAAUAUAAAAACGUUGAUGAUGCUUUUACUAAAAUUAUCUCAUUAAUUGAAAUUUUAGUAGGAUGAUACAUGGCUGUUAUAGUAUAUUUGAAAAUUAAAAAACUAAUUUAAAAAUAGAGCAUGGGAUAAUCUCUUAAGUUUAUUUGUAAGAUUAAACACUCUUAUAUAUAAUUAAUUAUAUAAAGAUAUAAUAAUAUUAGUAUUAAAUAUUUUAUUAUUUUAAAUAAUAAAAUAAAUUUAAUGUAUCAACCGGGUUGGAUCCGAAUAAAUUUGAGAAAAAAAAAUCUAGAUUAUAUUUAAUCCAAUUUUAUUUAAAUUAAAAAUUUUAAUAAUAAAAAAUUAAUUUAUUUUAACUUUAAUUAUAAAUAUAUAAAUAUUUACUAUAGAGUAAAGUCAACUUUUUCCUGUGGACCUACCUAACACAAUUCUUCAAAACUAAAAUUUCAAGCCUCACCCCCAAAUUCAUCUGAUUUGGUCCACUUUGUCUAGUUUAUGUUUUUCUUUCUCACUACUAUUAUUAAAAAAAAAAAACAUGCAUCAAAUGUUGUGAUUGCACUUUAUAUAAAUAUUUCCCAUUAUUGCUCUUUUUUUAAUAAUAUUUGAGAUUGUGAGAAAUUAUUUUAUUAAUGCUGUAGUUGAAAAAAUAUAAUAAUAAUCUAAAGUUCAUGCAUGGCAUGGAAUGAGAGGUAAUUCCUAGUUUUAAUUUAAUUAAUUUUAGUUUUUAUAUUUUUUGAAUUAGUUAAUUUUAGUCUUUAUAUUUUUUGGAUUGUUCAAUUUUAUUCAUGAUUAAACGGUAAUAAGUAUUGUUUAGUUAAAUUAUACUAUUAGUUGUAUAUUAUUUGUAAAGUUAUAGAUUUAGCUCAUGUUCUUCAACUGGACCAUUCUUAAUUGCUAUAUUUUUUGAAUUUCUAAACUUUUGCCUUUAUGCAAACGACGGUGGUUUGAUAUAUUGACAGGUUUUUCUUAUAUGAAAAUUACAAGCUGAUAUGACAUUACACAUGUAAUAAUAUAUUCGUUGCAUCAAAGUUUAAAAAUAGCAUAAUUAAACUCAAUGAAUUUAAUAGCUAACAUUUGAUCAAGAUUAAAAUUUUAAAAUUCUAAAAGUACAAGGACUAAAAAUGACUAAAUUAAGGUAUAGGUUUAAAUUUAUAACUUAUGCAUAGUAUAGGGACUAAUAGAAAAUUUAACCAUCUUGUUGUUUAGAACAACAGCUUUUAGAGCCCAAAAGAAGAGAGUUCCAUCAAAUCAUAUAUGUAUUUUUUGUUGUGUUGGCAGGACAUUAUUUAAUGACAGAAAUGUUAAUGGAAAAGAUGGUAGAAACAGCAGAGGAAACAGGCAUCCAAGGAAGAAUCAUAAACCUGUCUUCAGUAAUUCACAGCUGGGUCAAAAGGGACUGUUUCAGCUUCACCCAAAUGCUUAACCCCAACAAGUAAUUAUUCCACUCUCCUUCCUUCCCCCUAACCGACACUGAUCUCUCUUUUAUACAUACCCCUAUAAUGCUAUAUAUAUAGAAAAAGAGGUUAAAUAACCUCAACUUUGCAACUACUCUUAUAUUAGGGUUCAACCUUCUUUUUUAUCUAAGUUAAUUCUUUAAUUUAAUAAUUAUUCUCAUAUUAGGAUUUAAAUUAGGUAAUUAUUCUUAUAUUAAGAUCUAAACUUGACAACUACUCUUACAUUGAGACUUGAAUUUUUUUAUUCAAGUUAAUCCCUAAAUGUGACAACUGUUUUCACAUUGAGGCUUGAACUAGCCAAUUGUUUCCAUAUUAAAGUCUCAACUUCUUUUUGUUCAAGUUAAUCUCUUAAUUUGGCAAUUGUUCCCACAUUGGAGUGUGAACUAACCAAUUGUUCACAUAUUAGGGUUUGAACUUUCUUUUGGCCCAACUUAGUCCUUGAAUUAGGCAAUUGUUCCCACAUUGAGAUUUGAGCGAGAUAAUUGUUCCCAUAUUGGAGCUUGCACUUUUUUUUGUCUAAAUUAGUUCUUGAACUUGGUAAUUGUUCCCAUGUUAGGGCCUAAACUUUAGAAUUUUUAAGGAAAUAUCAUGGAUUAACUUAGACAAAAAAAAAUUCAAGUCCCAACAAAGAACAAUUGUCAAGUUCAAAGACUAAUUUGAAUUAAAAAAAUUCAAGCUUCAAUGGGGAAACAAUUACCAAGUUCAAGAACGAAUGUGAAAAAAAAAUUUAAAACUCCAACUUACGCUAAGAAUAGUUACCAAAUUUAAGCCUCAAAUAAUAAUUAACAUGGACUGCUAUACAUUACAGUAAAACAGCUUAUUUGUUGGUAAUGACGAUGCAGUUAUAAUGCUACUCGUGCUUAUGCUCAAUCCGAACUAGCAAACAUAUUGCAUGCCAAAGAAGUAGCCAGACAGCUAAAGGUCUGAAACUUUCUCUUCUUCAUUAACAUUUUUCAUAUAUAUAAAAAAAAUAUUAUUGUUUUAAUCUGCAAACAACCAUUAAAAUUUUUGCAGGCAAGAAAUGCAAAAGUAACCAUCAAUGCAGUGCAUCCAGGAAUUGUAAAGACUGGAAUUAUCAGAGCACACAAGGGCUUUAUUACAGGCAAUUCUUUUUUUCUUUUUUUCUAUGUUAAAAACAAUUAAAUAUAAUUUAACAGCUGACCAAUUACUGUGUAUAAUCUGAAUGCAGAUUCCCUAUUUUUUAUCGCUUCAAAGUUGCUCAAGUCUACCUCUCAGGUAUGCCUUUGUCUUUGUCUACGUCUUCUUCAUCCUGCCUGCUUUAUCAUCCAAAACUUAAUUUUAAGAAUUUAGGAGAAUGUCUCAGUCUAGUUUAACAGAAACCGCAAAUGCCCCUCAAAUAUCAUUUCAGUAAACAACACAGCAACUUUCCUAAGUUUUAGAAUUUGUAAAAGGGUACAUCUCCGUUACAAACCAUUUUCAUUUUAGUCACUCACCAUUAAUUUAGGGUUAGGCAAUAUUCUUGUACUCAUUUUAAUCCCUCAGCUUUAGUAUGUUUUCAUUUUUAUCAUUCUUUUUAUCUUUUUAAUUUCCUUUAUAUAUUUUUCAUUUUAAAAAAAUUAAUUUUUUUUUCAGUAAAAGGAAAAAACAUAGGUUUUAUAUAUAAAAACUUGUGUUUUUACAGGAACAACAUGGGUUUUUACUUCGAAAAAUCAUUUUAUUUUUUUAAUUUCUUUCAUUUUUUUUAGAAUUAAUUUUAGCUUUUCUAAUAAGUAAGAGAAAACUUGAGGUUUUUACAAGAAAAAACUUGAAUUUUUAUAGAGAAUUGAGUUAUACGAAAAAAAAAACUCUGAUUUCAUCUUUGCAACUAAAUAACUCAAUUUCUCAUCAACUUAAGUUUUUUUUGGAAAGAAAUAAAAUCAAUUCUAAAAAAAUUAAGUGGCCAAAAUGAAAUUUACUAAAGUUUAAUUAUUAAAAUGAAUGUAUAAUAAAAUUAUCUAACCCCAAAAUAAAAAAAAAUACAUUUUAAUACGCUUCUACUCACAUUUUCAAAGUUGUUGUAAUAACAAUAAUACUAACUAAACUAAAAUUCAUUACUAGAUCCACGGGUCACAAAAUGGUUCCCCUCAAUUUCUUAAAUCUGCCCUCCAUUUUUCUUCAUCUUUUCUGGAAACUUUUAAUACCUUGAGGAAAGUUAAAAGUAUUUUAUAUAAUUGUGUUCUAGCUUUAAAAUUUAGCUCUAUUUCUUUUGUUUGACAUAAAUUUAUUUUAAUUGUGAAUGAUAGUAAUCCUCAAAAUCUCCCCUUUAUCCACAAUUUUGAUUUGGGUUAAUACAUGUUUGAAUUUAGUAAUUGUUCUUAGAUUAGGGUUUAAAUUUGGUUUUGGUUUAAGUCAGACCUGAAUUUGAUAAUUGCUCUCACAUUAGUGCCUAAAUUUUUUUGUCCAUGAUAUUUCCUUAAAAAAAUUCAGACCUCAAUAUGAAAACAAUUGUAAAGGUUAAGAAUCAACUUGAAUAAAAAAAAAUCUAAACUCCAAUAUAGGAACAAUUGCCUACGAAAACAAUUGUAAAAUUCUCUGCAUUUUUAGAAUAAUGUUAAGCUAUAGAGUAGGGGCAAGCAUUAGUGCUAAUAUUGCAAAACAAAAUUUCAAAUGCAGGGUGCAUCAACUAGCUGCUAUGUAGCAUUGAGCCCACAAGCACAAGGGUUAAGUGGGAAAUACUUUGCAGAUUGCAAUGAGUGCAAUUGCUCAGCCUUAGCCAAUGACGAAUUGGAGGCUCAAAGAUUAUGGAGGCAAACUCGAGCUCUCAUUCACAGAAGACUGCAAUAUCAAUUCCCUACAUCAUCUUAGAACAUUCUAGUUACUCAUGUUUCACCCAACAUAAUUAGAUAAAUUAGGAAGCUUUGUACAUAUACCCCCAAUAUAUUUAUCUUCAUCUACAUUUAUAUAAAAGCAUUUUGUACCGGUAAAUGAACAUGACAUAUUAUAGGAUUAUUUUGGAUAUCGGAUAAAAAGGUUUUUUUUUUAAUUUACCCCUAAUUUAGGUUGUAUUCAUAUUUCAGCUUAAAUCUUCUUAAACAUUAAUAAAAGUUGUGUAAUAACUUUUACAUUGUUUUUUUACUAUAUAUAGAUAGAGGUUGAACCUUUAAUCUUAUCCUCUCUCUUUUUUUGGAAUUCUUUAUUUUCGUUUUACGAUUCAUAUUCUAAGUUCAUGACUAUCCCUCCCAACAAUGUCAUCUCCAAGUUUGACAUGCAUUCUCCUACCAAUAAUGCUUUGAAAAAUGCCAAAUGUUGGAAAUGGUACCAUUCAUGAACACAUUCUUGAAAGACCAAAACUUUGUAUAAGUUACCAGCAAAGUAUAAAAAAUAAAAAAAAUUCUAAAGAAAAUAUGAAAGGGAGGGAGGUUGUGGACUUACCUAGGUUGCUUUUUGAUGCUUAAAUGUAGUGUUAUAAUUUAUAAAAUAAAUCUACAAUAUAACUUAAUAAACCAGGAUCUGUCAUGUCAAAUCAUUAAGAAUAAAUCAAGAACAAAACUAGAUGUGGAAGCGUACCUGAAUCCAUGGAUUCCUUGAAACUUUCUGGAACUUGGGGAUUUGAUCUUCCAAAUUAGCACACAAGAAAUUCAGAGAAUAUCUGCUCUCUCUUUCCUAAUGAUGGGAUAUUAGAAAAGAUAUCUUGUGUAUAAUUUGGGGACCAUAACCCUAAUAUUUAUAACCUUAGCAUAUUAGUUUAGAAUUUGAUUAGAAGAGUAUCUACACAUAGUUGACCUAUACUUUAUUUAAUAAUUAAAAGCCCAAUAAAAUUCUAACCAAAUUAGAUCACUUUUAAUUUGGGCUAACCUAUCAUGAUAGUAAAUAAUAACAUGUAAUUAUCCUUAUAUAUAUAUGUGAUGUCCAAAUUUUCCAACAAUCUCCCACUUAGACCACAUAUAUAUACUAAUUACUUUAUAAUUACAUGUCAUUAUAUAUCCUUAUGAGCUCAAAAUUUUACUAUCAUAUCCAAAAGGCAUUCCGUACAAUCUAGUCCAUUAAUUAUGUUAACAUAGAACCAAGGCGACUUUCGUUACAAAUAUCGUAACUAAUCUAUCCAUGAUCACGUAUAUUAACACAACCAAAUGACAUAGAUCAAGUAUGGAUGUGUAGCAUGGAAAUUACGUGCAAUGUGAUCUAAACAUGUUUAUUUCCAACUGGUCCUCCUUAAACUUAAGUGAGGUCAAUUUCAAAAUAAUAAACAGAGUGAAUAAACUGAAUACUUCAUUUCUGAUCAGAAAAUAACCAAAUACAUAAAUGACUGAAAUAUAAACUCCCACUAAAUCAUGAUAUCCUCAAACAAUGUAACACCCAUGUGAGCAGUGUGCUCAUGAAAUACCUUGGGUGGUAAACCUUUUGUGAACGAAUCCGCUAUCAUGGAGUUUGUCCCAAUGUGCUCUAUGGAUAUUUGACCAUUUUGCACUAUUUCUUUUACAACUAGGAACUUUAUGUCAAUAUGCUUUGACUUAGAUGAACUCCUGUUGUUAUUAGAAUACAGCACUACUGACUUAUUGUCACAAAAUAAUUUGAGCGGUCUGUCUACAUUCUCCAAAAUGCGCAGUCCUGUGACAAAGUUUCGCAACCAUAUUCCAUGGUUUGAUGCCUCAUAGCAUGCUACAAACUCUGCUGUCAUAAUGGACGAAGCUACAAGUGUUUUUUUGACACUUUUCCAAGAUAUAACUCCUCCGGCUAAUAGGUAAAUAUAGCCUGAUGUAGAUUUCCUACUAUCUUGGCAUCCAGCGAAAUCAGAAUCAGAAUACCCUAUGACCUCCAAAAGAUCUGAUCUCUUAUAAGUAAGCAUGUAAUCUUUUAUUCUCUGAAGAUAUCACAUAACUCUUUUGGCUGCUAUCCAAUGUUCUAUACCAGGGUUGCUUAAAUAUUUGCCUAACAUCCCAACAAUGUACGCAAUGUCCGGACGCGUACAUACUUGAGCAUACAUUAAACUCCCAACAGCUGAUGCAUAGGGAAUCUUUUGCAUUUCCUAAAUUUCAAGGUUACUUUUAGGGCAUUGAGUAAGACUAAAUUUGUCUCCUUUAGCGACAGGGGUGUCACCUGGUCUACAAUUCUACAUGCCAAACCUUUUGAGUACUUUAUCGAUAUAGCUCUUUUGUGAUAAUCCAAGAACACCUCGAGAUCGAUCUCGAUGUAUCUGAAUUCCUAAAACAAAAUAGGCAUCCCCAAGAUCUUUCAUCUCAAAAUGCUUGGAUAAAAAUCUCUUGGUUUCAUGCAAUAAGCCUGUAUCAUUAGUGGCAAGUAAAAUGUCAUCAACAUAUAGAACCAGAAAUAUAUACUUACUCCCGUUGAAUUUGUAAUACACACAAUCAUCAACAAUAUUCAUCUCAAAACCAAACGAAACAAUUAUUUGAUGAAACUUGUGGUACCAUUGACGAGAAGCUUGUUUGAGUCCAUAGAUGGAUUUUUUCAAUUUGCAAACCAUAUUCUUUGAGUCUUUUGACUCAAAAUUUUCUGGUCGCACCAUAUAAAUUGUUUCUUCAAUGUCGCCAUUAAGAAACGCAGUCUUAACAUCCAUCUGAUGUAACUCAAAAUCAAAAUAAGCAACAAAUAUCAUGAUUAUCCUGAAGGAGUCUUUCAAUGAAAUUGGAGAGAAGGUCUCUGUAAAAUCAAUGCCUUCUUUCUGAGUAUAUCCUUUAGCUGCAAAACGUGUCUUAUACCUUUCCACAUUACCAUUUGCAUCUCUCUUGGUUUUAAAUAUCCAUUUACAACCAAUUGGUUUUGCACCUUUAGGUAAUGGGACAAGUUCCCAAACUUUAUUGUCUUGCAUAGAUUUAUACUCAUCUUUCAUAGCAUCAAUCCACUUUUGAGAAUUAGAACUUUUCAUGGCCUAAUGAAAGUUGAUUGGAUCAUCUUCCAUCAUUCCAUUAUCAUCCUCAUGUUCAUGGAGAAAUACAAUAUAAUCAUCUGGAAUAGCAUUUCUCCUUUCUCUUGUGGACCUCCUUAAUGACACUUGUUGUAAUACCCUAAAAAUUUCUACAGUAAGAUAUUAUCCUUAAUAUAGUAAAAUAAGGAAAUAAAGUGAAAAGAAGAGGAAAAAUUGAGUUAUGUCACUGGGAAGUAUAUUAUGAUAUACUAAUUUAAGAAAGGACUAAAUUGUAAAAGUGAGAAAAGUUUUGUGGCCCAAGAGUAAAUACUCAAAAUUUGAGGGAUUAAAAAGUAAAUAUGAAAAGUUGAAUGACUAAUAGUGUAAAUAUUUUAAUGGUGGAAUGAUUUAAAAACUAAGGAAAAUUGAUGAAUUGGGACCAAAUUGAAUAGGUGAAGAAUUAUGAGGGACUAAAUUGCAAUUUUACCAAAUUAAGUGAUGACUCAAGAAUGGAAUUUUAAAAGAUAACAAAAGGCAAAAUGAUCAAUUGGAAGAAAGAGAAAUCUAGAGACAAUGAUGAUGUUGGAGAUAUUUUAGAUAAAUUAAAUAAAUAAAUAUUAGUUUAUUAAUACUUUAAAUUGAUUUUUAAAUCAUAUUUUAUUAUUUUAUUAUUAUUAUUUUAUUUAGUAUAUAUAAGGAAAGAAAGAUGAAGAAUCAUCAUCUUUUCUUUCCCAUGCAAACCAACGUGAGAGAGAGGAAGAAGAAAAGAAGUUUUCUUUCUUUACAAUUUGGUCCUUCCACCAAAAAUUCACCAUUUUCACCUAGAAAUUAAAAGAAUUUUCAUAGCUACUAAGAGAGAAAAAUGUUAAGGAGACCAUGAGGAGUUAGAAUAUCAAGUUGGAUUCAAGAAAUAGAAGCUUGAGGAGAGAGAAAAUCAAGUUAAAGAUUCGUAUCAAUAGAAUAAGGUAAGUACAUCAAGAUUUCAAUAUGUUUUUAAGUUUGUUAUUAUUGACAAAGCAUGGAAAUAAUGUAAUAGUAGAGUUUUCUUACAUAAGGUCUUAUAUUCUUGUUAUGUUAGUGAAGAUAAAAUAAGAGAAAGUGAUGAGAAAUGGUGUAGAAAAAGAAAAUAAGGGUGUUAUAACAUGGUAAUUAAUAUCUUGCACUAAAACAGUUUUGGACAGCAGCAGUAGUCUAACUUUUAAAAAUCAUCAAAAAUUGUAGAAAUCUAAUUAUAGGAUGAAUAAAAUAUGAAAUUAAAUAUUAUUAAGUCUAGUUUCUUAUAGAAGAAAUGAUGUAAGAAAUGGAAUUGUAAAUCAUGAGAUAUGAUGAAUUUUGUGAGACAAGGUCAGAAUGAUUUCGGGUUCCCUUGUUCUGACUUUGUAAAAUCAUAAAAAAUUGGAUAAAAAUAAUUAUGGAAUUAAAUCUAUAUAUUUAUAAUCCUGAAUGAGUCUAUUUUCAAGAGAAACAAACGGGAACACCAUCUGAAUUCUGAGGAGAUAAUUAAUUUUUAGUGAAGAAGGGUCACAACUGUCAAACAGCAGAAUAAGGGUGACUUUAAAGAAUAAACUGUACUUAUUGGCUUAACCAAAAAUUCUGAAAAUUUUAUGGAAAGAAGAUAUAUGGGUCUAGUUUCAGAGAAAAUUAGCGGAUCUUAAUUUUGAGUUUUAUAUCUCCAGAUAUAAAUAAUUUAGUGAUUAUGACGCAGAUAGACAGCUUGAAUAUUCAUAAAAGUAAAUAAUAAAAAUUAUAGAUAAUGUUACUUACAAGUGUGUAUAUACAUUAAGAAUGUGGAAUGGAGAGGAGGAGGAGGAGGAAAAUAUGUAUGAAUAUUCAUCUAGCAUGGCUAAUUUGCAUAUUUUAGGAUCAGGGACUAAAUUGAAUAAAAUUAAAACUUUAUGGGCAAUUUUGUAAAAAUGUCAGAAAUGACCAAAUUGCAUGAAAUGGAUUAUUUUAUUAUUUAAAUUAUAAAAUUGAAUAAAAUUAUUAAUUUAGUUCAAGAUCGGGGGAAAACAUGUUUUAGGGAUUAAAUUGAAAAGAGUUGAAAUUAUGGAAAAUUCUGAUAUUUUAUAGAAUUCAUGGACUGUUAUCAAUAUGUAUGAGAAUAAUAGCUGGAAAUAAGGAUUAAAUUGCAAGAAUUUUAUUUUCCUGACCCUAAGGAUGAAAUCGUCAUUAAUUAAAAGUUUAGGGGUAAAAUGGUAAUUUUGCCUAGAGCGUUAAUUAAAUGCAGUAGAAUAUGAAAUGAAUGAAAAUGAUGAUCAAAUUUAUUUAUAAAGAUCUGGACGACUCAAAUACGAGACUUGAUCGUGGAAAAGAAAAGAUAUCGGAUUAAUGAAAUUAUAAACACAAACAAGCAAUGAGGUAAGUUCAUGUAACUUGAAUUAUAUUCUUAAAUGCUUGAAAUGUAUGUUAUUGAUGUAAAUAUGAUUUGAAAGUUCAUUGUAUGAAAAUUUAUGAAACAUUGAUAUAUUUGAUAAAAAGGGGAAGAAAUCUCAAUUGAAUGAAAGGAAAUUUCGAUGGAUCUCUAAAAAGGAAUUGACGGUAAAAAGGAUCUAGCCCGGACGGGUGAUCCUAUCCUGAUAUAGCCCUCCCGAAGAAUAUGUGGAAGAUGGAUUUAGCCCAGACGGGUAAUCCGAAUUAGGGUCUGAAUUUAGCCUGGACUGGUAAUUCAGAUCCAAGCUCAUUAGAGUAAUUGUCGUUGCAGGAGAUUUAGCCUGGACUGGUAAUCCCGACAAUACUCUAUGAGUUUAUAUUACAGGGGAUUUAGCCUGGACUGGUAAUCCUGCUGUAAGGAUGAGGUUCGCGGGAGUGUGCUUUCUGAAAUGAAAUGUGUAAGAACAUGGUUGAAAGACACCAUGGCAACAUGAUAUGAAAUGUGUAAGACCAUGGUUGAAAGAUACCAUGGCAAUAGGAUAUAAAUUGUGUAAGACCAUGGUUGAAAGAUACCAUGGCAACAUGAUAUGAAAUGUGUAAGACCAUGGUUGAAAGAUACCAUGGCAACAUGAUAUAAAAUGUGUAAGACCAUGGUUGAAAGAUACCAUGGCAACAUGACAGGAAUGAAUAAGACCAUGGUUGAAAGAUACCAUGGCAAUGUAACAUGAAAUAAACAAGACCAUGGUUGAAAGAUACCAUGGCAACCUGACAGAAAAUGAGUAAAACCAUAGUUGAAAGACACUAUGGCAUCAUGUCAAAGAUAAAUAAGACCGUGGAUGGGAGACGCGAUGACAUCUAUUGAACAAUUGAUAUUCAGGUAAUAUGUAUCAGAUGACGAAUGGUUAUAUGAAAUGGUUGUGUGAAAUGUUUACAAGAACUGGUCAUAUGAAAAUGUAUGUACAAAAUAGUUGUAUGAAAUAAUUAUGAAGAUAGAUAAACGAAAUAAGAAUAAGUACAUGGAAUAUAACUUAUGUUAAGUUUAAUAUAAACUUUACCGGAACAAAUAUACAUAAAAUAAAUGGAAAUGAUGGAGCAUGAAAUAUUGAUAUAAUGAAAUGAUUGAUAUAUACUUAUGAAGAAAUGGUAAGAGAAUGAUAUGUUUCAUGACAUGUACAUAUAUGAUUAUCGUUGAUAUGUUGAUACAAGGAAAUUAUGUAAGUAAAGACAAUUAUUAAACUCAAGCGUGACAUGUCGAGAAAAUAAGUAUAUCAAUGUUGAAUUUAUAUGAAAUAUGUGCAAGUAUACUAACAAUGAUGUUGUUUGACGCUUAGACAAGUGUCAAGCUAUUGAUUGAAUGAUAACAUGUUUAAUUAUAAGAAGCAUUGAAAUGGUAAGUAUUUAGAUGAAAAUAUUUAAGAUUUUGCAAAAUUUUUUUAUGAUCCCGAUUUAAUUCCGGUUGGUUUUUAAUGUAUGUUUGGGGCUUCAAGGGCCCAAUAGAGAGACGUUAUGAUUAUUUUCAAAAUAUGAAUAAUAAAUGACUCAGAAUUAUCUGAAAAUGUUCAAUAAACUCCGGUAAUGCCUCGUACCUAUUUCGACAAUGGAUACGGGUAGGGGGUGUUACACUUGUUCUUGAGGUUGUUGAGUUUGUUCUUCUGGAACAAUUGCCUCAUUUUGAAUGGGAAGUUGUUCAACAUUGUCUUGUAGAGGUUCUGGAUUCACUUCUUGAUCAAUGAUAGGUAUAAGAACCUAAACAUCGUCAAAAGUGAUAGUAGAAAUCGAGUUAGAAUCCAAUUGCUCCUCAAAAGCAAUGUCUCUAACCUUAUUUCUCCCUCCAAACUCAACAUCCUCAAAAAAUGUUGCAGUUCCUAUCUCAAAAAUAUUCCUUAUUAUGGGAUCAUAAAAUUUAUAGCCCCUGGAUCACUCAGAAUAGCCAAUAAUGUAGCUGCUUACUGUUUUGGAGUCCAAUUUUUAUCAUGUGGCCUAUAAGGCCUUGCCUCAGCUGGACAUCCCCAAAUGUGAAAGUACUUUAGACUAGGCUUUUGACCUGUCCAAAGCUCGUAAGGUGUUUUUGCAACUGCUUUAUUGGGUACUCUAUUCAGAAUGUAAGCUGCUGUCUUUAAUGCUUCUCCCCAGAGGGACUCAGGUAAGGUAGAAUGAGCAAUCAUGCUCCUUACCAUAUCCUUAAGAGUUCUGUUUCGUCUUUCAGCUACACCAUUCAUACUUGGUGAUCCUGGCAUGGUGUACUAUGGGACAAUACCACAUUCCUCUAGGAAUUUCGCAAAUGGUCCUGGACAUUGUUCACCUGAGCCAACAUAUCUACCGUAGUACUCAUCACCACGAUCAGAUCUGACGUUUUUAGUCCUUUUGUUGAGUUGAUUCUCAAUUUCAGCUUUAUAAGUUUUGAACACGUCCAAAGACUGAGAUUUCUCAUGAAUGAGAUAUAGGUACCCAUAACGAGAGUAGUCGUCUAUGAAUGUUAUGAAAUAUUGUUGACCAUUCCAUGAUGCCAUAGGGAAUGACCCACAAAUAUCUGUAUGAAUUAAUUCUAAGACGUCUGAAGAUCUAUUGGCACCCAAUCUCUUGGUUUUGGUCUGUUUUCCCUUGAUGCAAUCGAUACAAACAUCAAAGUCUAUGAAGUCAAGGGACUUUAAAAUACCAUCAGACACAAGGCGUUCAAUUCUAACUUUUGAGAUAUGACCUAAGCGCCUAUGCUAUAAUGAUGCUGAAUUUUCCUUAUUUAAUUUACGUUUAAUACCACGUGAUUCCACAUGCAAGGUUUCAUUAUAGAAUGCAACUGUUUCUAGCAAAUAAAGGUUCUCAUAAGUAUUUAAAUAACCAGUUCCAAUAACAUUUGAAUUUAAACACAAAUUAAAUUGAUUGUUUCCGAAUGAACAAUAAUAUCCAAAUUUGUCCAACGAAGAAACAGAAACUAAAUUCUGUCUAAAUGACGGUACAACAAAAGUGUGUUUUAAAUCCAAAUAAAAACCAGUUCCUAAUAACAACCUAAAAUGUCUAAUUGCUUCCACUUCUACCGAUUUUCCAUCGCCCACAAAGAUGUGUUUUUCACCAUCACUUGGCUUUCAGUAACUCAGGCAACCCUGCAUAGAAACACUUAUGUAACUGGUAGCACCAGAAUCUAUCCACCAAGUGUUUCUAGGUACUGAAGCUAAAUUAAUCUCAGAACAGACCAAAUUAAGAAUUAUACCUUUCUUUACACGCCAAGCAUGAUAUUUGGUACAAUCUUUCUUUACGUGUCCAGACUUAUUACAAAAGAAACAACUCUCUGUAGCUUGUUGUUGUUUCUUUUGAGCUGGACCCUUAGCAGCUUCAUUCUGAUAUUUUCUUUUCUUGCCCUUGUCCUUAGGGGCAUUGGCCAAAUCAGCAUUUGCAGACUUAUCAUGCUUCAACCUUUCUUCCUCGUGCACACAAUGAGAAAUGAGCUCAUUUAGGGUCCAUUUCUCCUUUUGACAGUUAUAACUAAUUUUAAAUUGGUUAAACUGUGCAGGAAGCGAUACCAAAACCAUAAGAACAAGCAAUUCCUCAGAAAGCUUGAUCUUAAGUGCCUUAAGUCUUGAAGCAGUAUGGAACAUCUCCAUAAUGUACUCCCUUACGUUUCCUUGACCCUUAUACUUCAUAGACAUCAAAGAAGUCAAAAGUGAUGUUAUCUUAACCUUAUCAUUUUUAGCAAAACGUUUCUCAAUUUCAUCAAGGAAACCUUUGGCUUGAGUAAUCUCUUCAGAUUUUGUGCCCCUAAAGGCUUCUGGAAUGCUGUGUUUCAUGAUCAUUAAACUCAUGCGAUUUGAACGAUCCCACCUCUCAAAGUCCCUCUUAAUAUCAGGGGUGCUUUCCGCAGUGAGAGGUGCAGGUUGUUCUUCCCUUAGUGUAAGGUCUAUGUCCAUACAACCAAGCACUAUAAGUAAGUGCCUUUUUCAUUCUUUAAAAUUAGUUCCAUUAAGCAUGGGUAUAUAAUUUAUAUUAGCAGAUAUUGUGGCAGCAGAAGAUGAUUUAGCUGAAUAGAGAACAAAAACAAGCUUCAUAAGUAAACAAUAAAUUCAAGAUAAUGGCUAAUCCCAUCUCAAGAUACCAAACACUACAUUAAUAUCAAGUCUUUGGACAGUAAUAUUAACAGUAAGCGGUACUCUUGUUGUAGCAUCAAACAUUGAUAAUAAACUAUGUCAAGCAAUGAAUUAAUCUUUGGACUAACUUAUUACUCACAUAAAAUACCUUAUAAUUGUCACGCAUUUAUCACCACAGAUGUCGUUGUAAUUCUGUCAAAUAUUAACUUACCUUUGGGUCAAUCAAUAAACACAUGAAUUACAAAAAUAUAUAACCAUCUUAAUACUUCAAAUAAACUAAUCUACACAAAAGAGGUCACUUUGGCGGUAUUUUGUUUCAACUAAUUUAUUUAAAAUAUUAGAUAUCCUUAAUUAAAAGCCAAAAUUUGAAUUUAUUUGUUCCAAAAUAUUUACCUUAAUUUCAUCUUUCAAUCAAAUUAAAAGAUAAAACACACAUAUAUAUAAUUUUCCAAAACAUUAAACCAAUCAAAGCAUGCAUAUAUUAUAUAUUUAUAUAAACAAACAAAACAUAUAUAUGAAUCAAUUUCUAUAUAUAUAUUUAUAUAUAUAUUUUAAAUUUCAUAUAGAUUAAAAUAAUAAUAAUCACAUGCCUUACAAAUACACAGGAACUGAAUCACAAUAUUUUUAAAUAAAGCUUAAAAACGUAGGUAUCAAAUAAUAUUACACAAAUAUUUUAAACUUUAUAAUUGAAUCUAUUAAUUUGAAAAUCACCCAAAAAAAAUUUAUAUGAAUUCAAGAUAAUAAAAAACUUUAAUAUAAAUCUUCAAAAAACAACAUAUAUAUCUGAAAUAUAAAACCCAUGAAAUUUCAUGAAUUAAUUAUUCAAAUGAAGAACCUGAAUCAAUUCCCAAUGAUUCGAUAUGGCGAGGCUCGAAUGCCACUUGUUAUAAUUUAUAAAAUAAAUCUACAAUAUAACUUAAUAAACCAGGAUUUGUCAUGUCAAAUCAUUAAGAAUAAAUCAAGAAUAAAACUAGAUGCGGAACAGUACCUGAAUCCAUGGAUUCCUUGAAACUUUCUGGAACUUGGAGAUUUAAUCUUCCAAAUUAGCACACAAGAAAUUCAGAGAAUAUCUGCUCUCUCUUUCCUAAUGAUGGGAUAUUAGAAAAGAUAUCUUGUGUAUAAUUUGGGGACCAUAACCCUAAUAUUUAUAACCUUAGCAUAUUAGUUCUAAUCAAAUUCUAAUUAGCAUCAAAUUCUAAUUAGCCCAUCAUUAAUUAGAAUUUGAUUAGAAGAGUAUCUACACAUAUUUGGCCUAUACUUUAUUUAAUAAUUAAAAGCCCAAUAAAAUUCUAACCAAAUUAGAUCACUUUUAAUUUGGGCUAACCUCUCAUGAUAGUAAAUAAUAACAUGUAAUUAACCUUAUUAUAUAUGUGAUGUCUAAAUUUUCCAACAUGUAGUAGAUGGUAUAAUUUGGUAUUCUCAUGAACGUCGUUCAUAUUCUAUUUAAUUGAGACAAAAUGAGCUAAAUGUAUUAAGUGGCACUUGGUAGUGUCCUCUGCAGAUUGCCAGUGAGGCAAUCAGAUUUCUUGUCAUAUUUGUGUUAGCAAUUUAAUGAAGCAAAACCUUUGGAGUAGUAAAUAUGUUGAUAUUUUGAAGAUACUAUGGUCUACCUAUUGUAACAGCCAAAUUUUUCAGUGGUGUCGGAAACAGUGAUUCGAGAUCACUAAAUCCGAUGAGUAAAUUUAGAAAUUUUAACAAAUAAUAAUUAUAGGCCAAGCGCGAACUUAAAAGAAUUAUUUUUAAUUAGUGAAUUUUGCGAUUUUAAAAGAAUUAAUCAGGAAAAUUUGGUUGGAAACGAGGUAUCGAGACCUCGGAUUUAUAAACCAAGCCAUAAAUAUUUUUAUAAAUAUUUAUGGAGUGUUAUUAAGUUAGUAUUAAAGUUUCGUUAGAAAAUUUUAACGUUUGGUUAGUCAAUUAAUUAAAAAGGACUAAAUUGAAAAUAGUGUAAAAUUUAUUAAAUUGUGAUUAAAUAGUUUAAGUGAUUAAAAAGGAGGGAUUUAAAAGAAAAUUGGACCCAAAUUGUAUGGGCUGGACGGUUGGGCAAGAAAAUCAGCAAAAAAGACAAGGAGAAACAAGGGCAAAAUGGGAAAUUUUGCAAAUUAAACAUAUAAAACAAGACAAAUUUGAAAAAUCUAGAGAUAUCAUCAUUUUUCUUCAGCAAAAAUGCCAUGGGAGGUCUGAAAGCUGCUGGUUUUUCAUACUUUGACAUAUGUGAGUUCAAUUCUUACCCUUUUCUUUGAGAUUUUUAUGUUUUUGUGACUUUUACAAUUAGGUCCAAGUGUUUAAUUCAUUAGUUUUUUAUUUUAUGAACAAAAUUAAAAGCUAUCAUUGAUAAGUGUUAGCUGUUUAUGAUGAAAUAAAAUGAAUUUUAAGCUUUGAUUUUGUUGUUUGAUGAUUUUAUCAAGUAAUUUCAAUAGAAAUUAAUUUUAGGACCUAAUUGUGAAAAAGUUGUGAAUUAAGGUUUAGUGUUAAAAUUUUUAUUUUCAAAGAUUGUGUAAUAGUAUAGAAUGAUGGAAUAAAAUGUUAAUUGAGAAAAAUUAGCUUAAUAGAUGGGCUAAUUGAGCAAGGACUGAAUUGUAUGACCUUUGAAAUUUAGAGGAAAAAUGGUAAUAAACAUGUUGAACUAAAACAAUAUCGGACAGCAGAAGUAGACUAACUUUGAAAAAUCACCAUAAAUUGUAUAAAUCGAAUUAGAAGAUGAAUAAAAUAUAAAAUUAAAGCUUAUUGAGUCUAGUUUUUCAUAGAAGAAACAGUGUAAGCAAUGGAUUUGUAAAUUAUGAGAUAUAAUAAAUUUUGUGAGACAAUGUUAGAAUGAAUUCGGGUUCCCCUAUUUUGACUUUAGAAAAUCACCAAAAAUUGGAGAAAAUUAAUUAGAGUCUCAAAUUUAUAUAUUUAGAAUCCUUAAUGAGUCUAUUUUCAAUAGAAAUCAAUGGGAACAUUAUCUGAGUUUUGUACUGUGAUAUAAUUAAUUUUUAGAGAAGAGAGGUCAGAACUGUUGGAUAGUGAAACAAGGGAAAUUUAAAUGAAUAAACUGUACUAAUUGGCUAAACCAAAAAUUCUUAAAAUUUUAUGGUGUAAUGAUAUGUUAGUCUAGUUUUAGGGAAAAUUUACGGAUCUUAAUUUUGAGCUCUUUAGCUCGAAUUAUAAAUAAUUGAGUGACUAUGACUCGUGUGAACAGAUUGAUGUGAGCAUUAAUAAGUAAAUUGUGAAAUCGUACUUACAAGAAUGUUGUAUACAUUAAAGAUGUGGAAUGGAGAGGAGAGGAGGAAAAAUAUAUGUGAAUAUUCAGUUAGCAUGGCUAAUUUGCAUGUUUUAAUCUCAUGGACUAAAUUGAAUAAAAGUAAAACUUUAGGGGGCAAUUUUGUAAAAAUAUCAAAAAUGACUAAAUUGAAGGGAAUAAAUUGUUUUAUUAUCUAAAUUAAUAAAUUGAAUGAAAUUAUCAAUUUAAGAUUGGGUGAAAUUUGGGAAAAUGGUAAAUUACCAAUAUGCCCCUAAAUCUUAGUAUUUCUGCAAUUUAGUCAGGUAGGUUCGGAUACCCUGAAUGAGCAUGUAAAUAUGAAAAUUUAAGUAUUGUAUCGUAUUUUAUAUGAUAUUUUGAAUUGAAUAUAUGAAAAGGAUAUUACACCUAUGGAAACUGAUUUGUGACUAUUGAAGAUUGGAUUUGGUUCAAGUGAAUUAAUUCAACCAUUGAAAUGUGGAGGUUGAUCGAGAUUGUGUUGUUGAUUCUUGAAGAUCAUAUCUUCUAUUAAUUAUGUUUUGAAUGUUUAUGUUGUAAUUGCUAUUUUCAAGAAGUUAUUUUGUAUUCACUUAGAUUCAAUGUUAGCAAGCCACAAUUGAUAUAUGUUUUGAGACUUGUCUAGGUUAUGUAUGAGAGCAUAUUAAGAGCACUGGAGUCUGUUCAUUGAGAAAUUGUUUAGUAAGUGCAAAUUUAUUUGUAAACAUUGAGUGUUUACUACUCAAGUUCUCAGGGAGAGGAUUGAAGGUGAGUGUUCUAGUUUUUAGGUACAAAUGUGGGAUCUUUAUACUUGGGGAGUGAUAAAGUGUGAUUUGUUGGACAAAACACAUUAGCGAACAAAAUAUAUAAAUAUAAAUAAACAAUUAUUUAUAUAUAUAAUAAAAUAUAAAUAGAAUAAUUUAUAUUUAAAUUGUCAAAUACGUGAACCAAUAAAAAUCGUAACAAAAAGUUGAAAUCGAAAAGAGGAAUAAAGAUUUACUAAACGUUGAAGCUUGUUUAACACAGUUUCUUAAUACAGAUUUGACCGCUUCUACAGUACUUGGAGAAACGUUGGUCGAAUGUCUCGUAAGAUACAACAACACAAUGAUCAAAGCAGUAGUACCUCUGUAGCGAUCAACGAACAAACGUUUCCUUUUUCUAUUACCAAAACGUUGGAAAAUAUGGAGAGGAAAAGAAGAAUUUUGAUAGUAAAAUAAAUUCGGUGUGAGAGAGUAUGAGUAUAGGAAAAAAUUCUACAGAAUUCAUAGUCUUUUAUAAGCAUUCAGUAUAGUGGAAUUUAGGAAAUUUCCACAAAAUCUGUCAUUAAAGAAGCCAAUAAAUCAAUUUGAUUAAAAUUAAAUCAAAUUGAUUGGAAUCAAAUAAAAUAAGAUAAAUAUCCUUUUAUAAACAGAUUUUGUAUGUCUGCUGAGGAAAAAUUAAUUUUGUGUUGGGCUAAAAUAUCAACACGCUCAUUUUGGGUUAGACAUUUCGCAUCGCCCACGUUGUAAGAUGGCGCCCCAACCCAUGUGGGUUUGGACCUACAUCUCCCCUUGCACAUGAGGCAAAGAUCCAAAUUUAGCCAUUCAAUUACUUUUUAAGAGGGCUCCCAUAUAUAUACAGAUCUCACACUUGGUAUUAACCAAUGUGGGAUCUAAGCUUUUACUUUUUCUCAACAAAUAUUUUCAAGUAGCUUACUUUGAGCAUCAAUUUCUCAUUCAUCACUCAACUAUUUUGAGCAUAUGAUAUACCGUUGUAAAGGUCUCAUGAAGUAGAAUAUGAAACCAUAAUUUUAUGAUUCAACUCUCCACCUUUACCUAUUGAGAAUAUGCCUCAAAGCUCCCAUAAAUUACAAUUUUUCCAACAUGAUUCACUUAUUGUAUUAUGGAUUAAAGAUAAUGGAAUUACUCACUAAGCUAGGCUCCGCAAACAUAAGGAAAUUAAAUUGCAUAAACAAAUCUUUGGUUUUUUGUGUUUUUAUUUGCAUAGGUUUUAGCAGUACCAAGCCAUGGUAGUCAUUAUAGUCAAACACUUCCAUUAACCAUUUUCAUAUUUAAGCAAACAACAACUAUAAGUAGCAACAUUUCCCGUACAUCUAGACAUUUCAAAAUCUUGAGGCAUUGGAUAAGUUUUUUUUCUUUUUUAAUUUUAGUUAUUUUAAUUUUAUUAUUUGAUAAGAAAAAUAUAUUAUUCUUAAUUUAAAGAUAAAAUAUUGAUAUUUAUAAAAGAUAGAAAAUUUCGAACCAAUCAAAUUUUGUAAUGUGUCAUCAUUAUUUAUAUAUAAUUAAUUUAACUUAAUUAAGAUAAAAAUGAAAAAAUAAGCCUUUUAGAACCCUUUUAUUAAGAGAUCAUGUUCUUUGAGGUUUAUAUUAUCUAUAAUCAAAUUAAAUGAACCAAGAGUAAAUAACAAUGAUUAUCCAAUCCCUAAUUCAUUUAAAUUAAUCAUGAGAUUAAAUAGAAGAGGUGAUCUUUGUAGACCAUUUAUCUAAAGAGAGCAUAUUCUACAAGAACUCUCUCAUUAGUACUAUGAAAAAUGAUCACUUAUAAAUCAUUUAGCACAAGUUCAAAGGUUCAAAAGUACAAAAUUUCAUAUGAGGAGAAGAUUUUGUAAACUGAACUCUAUCCAAAAUAGAAAGAAAUUUGGAAAGGAACAAGCACUAGAAAAAAAAUUAUGAAAAACUCUACUAUAGUUCCUAAGAAUUCUCAAAAUUUACUCUUUGGUCUUGUUCAAUCAACAAAAUAUGAUGUUAAGCCCUCUUUAAUAUCAAGUCUAGAAUGUCCUUGAACCAGAACCAUCCAUUGAAGACCUUCAUGUCAAAGUUCUCCCCAAUCUGAUUAGGUUAACACAAAAGAAAUCAAACUUGUUCUUUAAGAUAAGUCUUCACGACCUUUAAAGCGGACUACAUCCAUCCAAUAUCAUGGCUUUGAUAAUCCUUUGAUUGAAGCUUCAUGGAAGAAGAGAAUAAAAGGAACUCCUUUAAAUUCAAGACAUUGUAUCAGUUGUAACUCAAAUUUUAUAAAUAUUUGUUUACCUCAAAUUUUUUUAAGUUAUGCUUUGGAUGCAAAAAUUUUGUGAACUAUUUAGUAUAACAUGGGCUCUUCCAACAUUUUUAGAAACCCCACAUUUCCUAUCAUUUCUGACCGCCCAAAUGAUAAUGAUUUCCUAAAACCUUAUCAUUUCUACUAUAAAAAAGCUCCAAAAUCCUUAAUGCAGCUAGUACUUUUCCAAAAUAGAAAGUUCCUUAAAGUUGAUUAACAUUUUUAUUAUAUUCAACCAAAUUAUUAAAAUAAACUACAAAUUUGACUAGAAAUGUGUAACGCCCUUCGCUCGUCUUGAUAGCUGGUACAAACAUGAGAUGCUAACAUGACAUUUUCGGAGCAAAAUCAAUAUUUUAUUUACAAAAAUAAAUGAUAAAUCAUUUUUUAUAAAAUAAUAUAAAAAUAUUUAAAUUCUAUAUAAAAUAAAUUUUAUGCUUCCAAAACAAAGUUCAAAAAUCUUAUAGUGCUAAUUAAAACAAAAGAACUAGGUAAUUUGUAAAAUAUAGGAAUGUUACUUAAUUUGUAAAAGGUUACUCAAAACGUUAAGGAAUUUAUAAGAAAUUAAGUAAAAACAAAAAGAGUAAUAGUACGUUAAAUUAUGUCGAAUUAUGUAACUUUAUUUGGAAAGAUUGUGUAGUUAUAGAAAAUCGUGUACAAUUUCUUGAUAUCUAGGAAUUAGGGUUAGAUAUAGAUUUUCUUAUGAAGUUGCAUAUUUUUAGGAGUUUCCUAUUUUUAGGGAGUUAAUUACUAUUUUAAGCUAGACAAUUGUGUAUAUAAACUAAGGCUGUAACCUGAUUUAGUGAUGAUAAAUUUCAUUCUUCUCUUAUGAUUUUUGUCCUGAUAUCAGAGCUAUUGGCUCUUUCUUGAUAAACUCUGAAUUUUUUCUAUUCUUUUCUCUGGUCAUACCCAACCAAGUUCUAUCUUCUCUGUUCCUCUCAAUCGUUGUUCCAUUCUCUCUCAUAAUUGCAUUGUUUGUAUCUAUUUCUCCAUUCAAUCAAUCAUGUCGAAAUCACCCAAAAGCUCUGUUGGAAUCACUAGUCCUGUCACGAGUGCCCCUACAUUCGAGAAUAUUGUCACUGUUACAACCGAAGAUUUGUAGAACAUUCAAGCCGUAUAUCAAUUGAAUGGGAAGAAUUACUUGAAGCGGUCACAAUUGGUCUGCACUUUUCUAAAGGGCAGAGAAAUAUUAAGCCAUUUAAUGGGCACAAGUCCUUUGCAGGACGAUCCCAAAUUUGCGCAUGGGAUGAACAAGACUACAUGGUGAUGUCAUGGUUAUGGAACUCGCUGCUGCCAAAAAUUAGUGAUACAUGCAUGUUUCUCAAAACUGCCAAGGAGAUUUGGGAAGCUUUUCGACAAACAUAUUCCAAGGUUAAUGAUGCUACAAAAAUCUACAAAAUUAAGAUGAAAAUUUCAACAACUUAAUAAGGGACACGGACUGGCACUGAAUAUUCGAGUCUCUUACAAGGCUUGUGGCAAAAGAUGGACCAUCAUCAAUGCAUCCAAAUGCACUACAAUGAAGAUACAGCAAUUCUAAAGCGAUUUGUGGAGAAAAAUCGUAUUUAUGAUUUUCUUGCAGGAUUAAAUGUUGAAUUUGAUGCUAUAAGAGUGCAAAUUUUGGAAAAUUUGGACCUACCAUCUCUGAAUGAGACAAUCUCUAUUAUACGUGCUGAAAAGGGACGUCGAAAUGUUAUAAUUAAACCUCAAGGGGGAUAUGGUUCUACACUUGUUACCAAAGCCAUAGAAUUGAAAGAGACGGACACUCCUUCAUUAGUUACUCGAGGGGACUCAACCAAACCAUUCAAUCAAAAUUCACUAUUCUGCACAUAUUGUAAGAAGCAUCGUCACACCAAAAAGAGAUGCUAGAAAUUUCAUGGCAAGCCCAAUGAAAAACCCAAUCGAAGUCUGAAUGAUUGAAGUCGGGGCACAUAUGGUGAGUACUUUGUCAACUAGUGAAGAAGAUUUUAAGAAAUCUGCUCCUGAAUUUAACAUCAAAGAAAUUGAAAAAUUAAAAACCUUUUUGGGAUCGUUUGAGAAGGCAACCUUGACAGGUACUUGUUCAUUGAUGUUUUCAAGUAUUUCUUCUUCCUCUUGUACUAAUGUCUCAAAAAACAGUUCUCCUCCCAUGUGGGUGACUGAUUCCAAAUCCACUGACUAUAUGACUUAUUCCUCCAAACAUUUUAUCUCUUAUACUCCGAAUUGUAGCCAUAAAAAUAUCAUAAUAGUCGACGAAUCCGUCACCAACAUAGCUGGCCAAGGGGAUAUUUACAUAAACAAGAAUCUUACAGUAAGAAAUGUCCUUCAUGUUCCAAAGCUAUUUGCAAGCCUUAUUUUCAUUCAAAAAUUAACCACAGAUUCAAAUUGCAGUGUAACAUUUUUCCCUUCACAUUGCGUCUUUUAGGCACUGGACACGAAGAAGAUGAUUGGACGUGCUAGUCAGAGAGACAGUCUCUACUUCCUGGGAAAACAAAGCAGUAUAACAUGUGUUGAAAAUCUCAUAUCUACAUUAUUUUUUUCCGAGUCUGUCAUGUCAAACCAAAAUAAAAUUUUGCUUCAUUAUCGUCGUUUAGGUCAUCCAUCUUUUAGAGUAUUCAUGUUGAUGUUUUCUUCUUCAUAUAAAGGUCUUACUUCUGAAGCCUUUUAUUGUAAUGAUUGUGAACUUGCCAAGUACAAACAUGAUUCCUUUCCAAUAAGCAAUAAAAAAACUUUUGUUCCUUUUUCUCUCAUUCAUAGUGAUAUUUGGGGGCCUUCUACCAUUUCAAAUAUUCCUAGUAUUAGGUGGUUUGUUUUAUUUAUUGAUGAUUGUACUCGAGUGAAAUGACUUUACCUCUUGAAAAAUAAAUCUGAUGUUAGCAUUGUUUUCCCUAAUUAAGAGAUCUCAAUCGAACAAUGCAAAGGAUUAUCUCAAUCAAAUCAUUUCUCCAUUCUUUCAAAAAACAGGGAUUAUUCAUGAAUCCUCAAGUGUUACCACCCCACAACAAAAUGGAAUGGCUGAGCGAAAUAAUGGUCAUCUCCUAUUAAUGCUUCACAAGAAUGUUCUCAAACAAUACUGUGGUGAAGCUGUAUUAACCACUAUCAAUCGUAUUGAUAGGCUUCCGACACGUGUCCUUGGGUUCAAAAGUCCAAUUGAUAUUCUCACAAAAUUUUCCCACACUUCUUUGCUUCAAACAAUCUUAUUCCCCGAAUCUUUGGGUGUGUUGUGCUUGUUCAUGUUCAUUCUCACAAUAGGAGCAAAUUAGAUCCACAUGCCCUUCGAUGCAUUUUUAUCUGAUAUUCCUCCAUAUAAAAGGGUUAUAAAAUUUUAAAAUUUUCAAGGAAAAAUAUAUGCCAACUACAUCCUUACCAUCCACAUAGAUGCUCUGUGCUCCGCAAGCUUAACCUGUAUAGCAGAGGCGAAGCCAAAGGGGCUGGCAUAGGCCCCGGCCCCCUUAAAAUGUAAAUUUGUUCUUUGUUCCUUAAAAUUUUUUAAAAAUUUUAAAUUAGUAAAGGUAAAAUUGUACUUUGGCCCCCCUAAAAUUAUAAAAAUUCGAUUUAAUCUUUUACAAAUUAUAAAGAUAUUGUCGAAACCAUUUUUUUAUUUUAGAAAAAAAAUGGGAAUCGACUUUUAAAACAAAGUGUAGAGUCGCCCCCAAUCCUUUUGUUUAGGUGUGAUUGGAUCACCUAAUAAAACAUUUUAUUACAUUUAAAUCAAUUUUGGCCUACGUAAAUUUGAGAAAACGGGUUCGGGAGCCGAUUACGUAUGAGGAAGGAUUAGCACCCUCACUACGCCCAAAAUUGGUACCAAAUUAUUAGGUACUGUCCUUAUGUCUAAAAUUUUAAAAUACUUUGAAAUAUGGCUCCUUUUAAAACAUUUGAAUGGCUCAAGUUGCUCGUCAAAAUUCUCUUGUUUCAAAGGAAUACAGCAUCACAUCCAGCACGAUAGGACAUGAUCCUUUAUACCUUCGAAACCACGAUUAAUUUUUUACUUCCAAAAGCUCAUACGUUAAAAAUUACAAAAGGAUGCCCAAUUAUUUAGUCCAACGAAAAACCGAAACCCAGCACGGUAGGGCACGAUUUCUCGAAUUUCCAAACAUUGAACAUUGCCUUGUUUUAGAAUUUAGAAAAUACGGAUGAAAUUUCAAAGGAAUAUUUGAUUGUUUUGGACAAACGGAAAAUCGAAACCCAGCACGGUAGGGCACGAUUCCUCGAAUUCCCAAACAUCAAUCAUUACCUUUGUUAUAGAGAAUUUUCAAAUAAACAAUUGUAAAUCAGCUCAAAACGCAUUAAUUUGCCUUGAAAUAAAAUGGAACAAUUAAUUUUAAAACAAAAAGUUGAAAAUUACCAAGCAACACUUGCGAACACAAGGAAAAAUUAUAAACAUGGAACAAUAUACAUGGAUAGAGAACUCUAUUAAUGAAUGAAAAUAGUAUAAAAACAAAUUAACAUACACACAAUAACCACGAUCUUACAUCCAAGAAACAAAUUAGAAUAAAAUAUAACAAGUUUCGAACAUAGAUGAAUAAAAUUUAAAAUAAUAAUACAAAAGACUAACAAACGAUAUAAAACAAUAAUAUGUGAAAUAAUAUGAAAACUAAAACAACACAUAAAAUACAAAACAAUAUGGCAACAAUUUGAAAACUAUUAAAUAUAUGAAAAUUUACAAAUGAACAACACAUAAUAGAAGAACAAUAAAUUAAUAAUAUAUAGAUGAUUAAAGUAAACAUUAUGAAAAAAAAAAGAAGUUUGGAGCAAAUAAUAUACAAAAUAUCUUAAAAAAACAAAACAUAUCUAUUUAAAAUUGAUUAUAUACAUAUAAUAAUAAAAAACAUAAAUAAUAUAUAAUGGGGUAAUAGUCCAUGAAAGAAUUUUAAAUAACAAAAAUAUGAUAAAGUAUGUUUUUAAAGAAUAAACUAUAUACAUAAUAAAUUUGAGAGGAAAUAUAUAUAAAUAGAUUUAAAAGAAAUUAUAUAUAUAGAAUAACAUAGAAUUAAUAUUGCUUAUAAAAUAAAACUAAUUUAGAAUUAAUAUUGCUUAUAAAAUAAAACUAAUUUUAAUAUAAAUUAUAUAUAUACUAAUAUAUAGGUAAUUUAAAUUAAAGAUUAUACAAAAUUUUAAAACAAUAUGAUAUAUAAAAGGUGAUUUUAAAAUAAUAAUUUUAUAAUAAAAAUAAAGUAAUUUAUCAAAGUAAUUUAAAAUGUAUAAAAAAAAUUAAGAGAUGAAUGCCAAAUAAAUAUAAAAAAAUAGUGAAUUAUACAAAUUGAAAUGAAAAAAACUUAAUUGAAAUAACAUCAAACUAGAGGGAUAAUUAAUAAAAAAAAAGCUAUUGAAAUUGAAAUAAUGACUAAAGUGCAAUACGCGCGAAUGUUCAGGGAUCAAAUCUGAAAAUAUUCCAGAUCCCAAAACAUGGCGUUUAGACGCGGACUAAACUGAAAAGACAUGCAAAUUUUAGGACAAAUUUGAAAUAAAUUAAAAUGUAACUAAGGAUCAAUUAAAAGUCUGCGCGAAGGCGAAGGAUUAGCCGUGCAAAUUGACCAUUCGAAGCGCCAAAGCACGGAUCCAGCCUAUGGAUCGGGCUUGCGCGCGGAUCUUCCCCCCCUCUACACGGCACCGUUUCAAACUCUAUACAAAGUCAAGCCUAAAAAAAAACCUAAAAUCAAUCAUUCAGCCACUUUAACAAAAUCAAAAAAAAAAAAACUAAACUAAACCUCUCCUUAUUCAUUCGGCUGAACCAUGAACCUUCUGCCCAGCCACCACACGUUACCGUGACCGGUGAUUGGCGGUGAGCGAAGCCCGUUCUAAACCGAUUAAAGCCACAUAUGCCAAUUUCAACCCCGAAAUCCUCACUUAGACUUCGAUUUAGACGAAGAAGAUGAGGACUCCGAAGGCGAACUCUCAAUGGUAAACCCUCUAUUUUUUUAGAUUCGUCGAAUAGAUUCAAAAUAAAGUAAAAAAAAAACAAGAAUAAGAGCAGAGAAAUAAUCUACGAAUCACCUUUGGUAAACUCUUUUUGAAUUGAUUUCUUUUUUCAUAUAUGCGUCUGUUCUCUCUAUUUUACAUCGUUUCAUUCAGUUUUAUAGCCAAAAUAAAUAAAAUAAAUAAAUAAAAAGAAAUCCAAAUUUCAUUGCUGUCAUUUGUUGCUAUUUGCUGUCCAUUGCUUGUGGUUGUUUUCGUUUGUUAGUCUGUUGCAGGUACAGCUAGAGGGUGGCGCGUGUGGAGGCCAUUAUGGGGGUGAAGCGUGAAGUCACUGGUGGCUGCUUGCGGCCCGAGGGUAGACGGGGCUAGGGUUUGCUUCAAGCAUGGUUUGGGCUUAGGGUUUAUUAUUCUUUUGGGUCUGCUUGUAAAAUUUUGGGCUUAAUUUUAUUAUUGGGUAUUGGGUUUUGUAAUGGGCUAAGGGGUUAUAGACUGUUUUAUUGAUUUUUAUUAUUUUUUGGUUUUUUUGCAUUUAGUUUAUAAGUCUAAAGGCCCGGGUGAAAUGGGCCUAUUACAAAUAUAAAUUAUAAAAAAUUAAAAUUUUAUUCGGCCCUCCCUAAAUAUUUAUUCUGGCUUCGCCCAUGCUUUAUAGAUGGGUAGAUAUGUAGAUGUCC